CGCCGAGGCUGUCGUCGGAUGUGUCGUCGCCGUCGUCGCGGCCGUUGCCGUUGAGCAUGAGGCGAUCCCCCCGCCUCCUGUCGGACCGAGGCGAGUCCCUCGGCCCCGCGCCGCCGGAGACGCCGCCGCCGUUGCUCCUGAGCCGCCGCCGCGGCGGAGGCGCCCCGCCGGACAUGGACACGGCGGCCCUCCUGCCUUCCCGGAUCCGCUCCAUGUCAGAUCUGAGGCAUGCGCCUCCGAUCUCCCUCCCUCCUAGUCGCCGCCGGCGUCCCGGCAGACCGCCGCCGCGCAGAUCCGCGCACCAACCGCCUCAACAAAUCCCCACGGGCAGAGCGAGAGAGCCCGCCCUCCUUCUCCUUCCCCUCGUGCUCACAAGUAUCUCUCCUCUCUCUCUCUCUCUCUGUAUCGGUGGUGGUGCUGCUCCUCCUAGAGAGUGCUCUCCUCUCUUCUCUCCCUCGGCUGGAAUGGCUGCUGCUUCUCUGGUGUGGCCUCCUCCCCUCCCCUUGUGGCUCGCUUUCUAGGCCUCAUCCUCUUUUUGUCGCUGCCCAUCCCCGCAUCCGACGGCCAGGAUCCGCCCGACGCAUCCGACGGCCCCGACCCCCGCGCGCCUGCCACCGUGGCCGCCCCCACCGCCUACCACCCAACACGCGAUAAAAUCUCGUGGACGCUUCCUUACGCCACAAGCAUGGCCCGAUGACCGACACGUGGCGGGGCAGCCGAGCGGGGUGAAACCCACCGGCAACGGGAGGUGGGUGGUUGAUGGAUGGCGGCACGCCCGUUUGUUCGCUUCCCUAACAAAUCUUUUUAUCCUCUUGUAAAAACUCAACACUCCACGCAAAAUAAAGCAAGAAUAAUACAAUACGAGUACAUAAAGAUGAAAUGGCGCUACGCCAUCGGCUUUGGCACGGGACCACCGCGCGCGGGGUCCGCGUGGACGGAUGGGCCGCCUGAUCUGGACAGUGCGGUGCGGUUUAACCGGGCUGACGUGGCGCCUGCGCGCACCGGUUGGUUGCUACGGGUGGGUUAAAAGGGCACGAGGAAAGUCUCCAGGCAGCAGCAGCGGCAGUGGAGGCGGGCGGGGCCCACGCGCGGGCCCGGGCAUCUCCCGUCUCAUCCGCUUUUCUUUCCUUUUUCUUUUUCUCUUUCCUAACGUUCUGCUCGUGGGCUCCGACGUGGCGGAGGGGGUGACGUCGGCGGGGCCCGCCGGCCACCAACCUUCACCGCACCACUGGCCUACUUCUACUCUGAUGAAUUAUUAGUAAGAUAUUCCUUGAAAACACCCAGUAGUUUAAUAUCAUUACCACGGAGGAGAUCCGGAAGAUGUCAUUGUAUACGCGGAUUGGCGCGGUUUUACUUACACUAACUUUGGAGCAUUGAAGGCCGGUAAAUUUAAAUUUAAAUGUUUUCGCUGUGGUGUGGUGUGGUGCGGUGCGGGGCGUCGUGUUCUGGAUCCAGACGCCACCGGCAUCGGGUGCAUAUAUGCAUGGCGACGUACUGCUGCUCGCUUUAAAUUGCAAGUUUUUUAAACGAGCCACGUGCGCCUUCUUUCCAGCAUUGUACACCCAAAUUGAAUUUUGAAAAGAAAUAAAGAGUAAUUCAAGGCAUAUUUUCAGUAGGUGGCUAUCAAUGAAAAUAUGCCUGCGAAUCACUUUUUUUUUUUAAAAAACUCAAUUUGGGUGUAUUUUUGGAAAACAAAGUUAGAGGAUCGAUUUUGUUUUUUUAUCAUGACUUUACAAAUAUGAUUUCAUGAUGAAAUUUUGAAUGCACAACAAGUAUUUCCAAAAUAUAUCAUUUCUUUAAAUUUAUUAUUUUAUUUUGAACAUUUGUGCCUAGUUAUAGAAACUCCGCGUCCGUUGUAGGCUUCUUUUUGCUUAUGUCACUGAGUGUAUGUAGAAGGUACAUGUGGUGUUUAAUUUGACGUGGUUAGCAAGGACACAAGAUUUUGAUUCAUGAAAAGGGAAAGGACAUAUGGAUAGUAAACUUUGAAUGCAAUGGACAACAACAAGCACACGCUUCCUCAAAGAAGGGCAUCAAGAACAUUUUUCCUUGGCAUCUCGAUUAACUCAAUAAAACGUGGGUGUUCCCUCCUCCUCCCCUCCCUCGCACAUCGACAAACACACACGACAUGCACAUGUGUGCCCUUUUUGUGUGUUUGUGUGCGUUGUUGCUCACCCCGCAUGCCCAUAGUUUGGGAAGACCAUGUGUCCUUGAAGCUUCGCCCGUUGGCCAACUUCACACCUAUGCUUAUUGCAUUUGUGAGAUUUGAAAUAACUGCUAUGAGUGAUUUUUGGAAAGGACGAUGGGAGAGGGUUAGAUCCGGCAAAUUUGCUGAAAUAGCACUAUGUGCCCUUCGUUAGUCGGGGACGGGAAGCGAGACUCUCGACUUCCUUUUGAGAUCAGAGGGAGCAUGCCAAAGUGAUAAUGAACGGCCAUGACCGUGCCUUCCAUUCAUGGUGAUUGGUCAAAACUUUAUAUAAUCUCCAAAGAAGGAGUUCCAAGAAAUACACAAAGAGGUGUAUUCUAGUUGUUGCCAAAUUAGCAACUGCGAAUGGCGGUCUCCGAGUAGAGAUUAUCAUAUCAAAUACAAGAUUAUUAAUUCUAAACGCUCCUCCUAAUGUGUGCAUGUACUCUCAUCGCUCUUGAAAAAGUGCACCAAUUUCUAAAUUGUGAAUUGAGAAAAAUGUGUGCGCGUGGGGGGGUGUUGUCCCCCCUAGGUGUGUGUGCNNNNNNNNNNUGCAUGCGUCGUCACUUAGCUCGUGUGGCCGUGUUGGGAAAGCCAAUCCACGUGUCCAUGAUGCUUCACACAUUGGCCGCAUUAGAAGCUAUCUAUGUGGCAUGCAUGAGGUUUGGAAUAACCGCUACAUGUGAUUUGCGAAGAGAGUUAUGUUUGGAGGGAAAUACCAAAAUAGCAAUAGUGUGCCCUUCCUUGGUGGAAGAUAAGAAGCAAGACUCGUGACUUUCUUUGGAGAUCAGAGGGAGUAUAACAAAGUGAUAGUGAAUGGCCAUGACUUUGCCUUAUCAUUCAUGAUGAUUGAUCAACGAUUUAUAAAAUGUCCAAAGAGCGGUUCUGAGAAAACAUGGAGGGGUGUAUUCGGGGUGUUGAGAAUUUAGCAACUCCCAAAUGUGGUUUACAUGCAAUGAUUUAUCUUAUCUAACACGAUAUUAAUUAAUUCUACACACUCCUCCGGAUGAGUGCAUUUAUUCCCACCACUAUUGAAAAACACAUCAAUUUUCUCAAUUUUGAAUGGAGAAAAGCGUGUGCGUGUGGUAGGUGCUUUUGCUCAAAAUCAUUCCUAUAAGUGUGCGUGUGCAUGCGCAUGUGUAUCUCGUUUCAUGUNNNNNNNNNNGUUUAUCCUAUCUAACACGGUAUUAAUUAAUUCUACACACUCCUUUGCAUGAGUGCAUUUACUCCCACCACUAUUGAAAAAACACAUCAAUUUUCUCAAUUUUGAUCGGAGAAAAGCGUGUGUGUGUGUGGUAGGUGCUUUUGCUCAAAAGUAUUCCUAUAAGUGUGCGUGUGCAUGCGCAUGUGUAUCUCGUUUCAUGUGCAUGCAUUAUCGCUUAGCCCAUGUGCCCACGCUCGAGAAGCCAAUCCACAUGCCCUUGAUCCUUCACCCAUUGUCCAUAAUAGAAGCUAUGUAUGUGGCAUGCACGAGAUUUGGAGUAACCGCUACACGAAAUUAGUGGAGAGGGAUAGGUUCUGAGGGAAAAGACCAAAAUAGCAAAGUGUGGCCUUCNNNNNNNNNNAUGACUUCCUUCACAGGUUGGCGGGAGUAUAACAAAGUAACAAUGAAAGAACAUGUCAUGGUUUUGUCACGACGAAAAUCCUCGUGAUAGGACUAAGUCUAGGAGCUAUCACAACUAGGUGGUUGCUUGGAUGGGGUUGAUCGGGAAUGAGAGACAAGAGUUUACCCAGGUUCGGCCCCUCCGAUGGAGGUAAAAACCUGUGUCCUCCUUUUUGUCUUUAUUGAUGAUGAUCUCGAUUACAAGGGUUCGAAAUCUCUAACCUAANNNNNNNNNNNNNNNNNNNNNNNNNNNNNNNNNNNNNNNNNNNNNNNNNNNNNNNNNNNNNNNNNNNNNNNNNNNNNNNNNNNNNNNNNNNNNNNNNNNNGCGACCUUAUGAGCCGACGAAACCUGCAUUUAGGGUGGGUGCACGAGCCUUCUGACUCGCCUCCCCCUGUCGCGACCUUAUGAGCCGACGAAAUUACUGUUGCUAUUUUUCGUCGUGGCAUAGCCCUGAAGGUUUUAAGCCCUUUCUUUCUGAUGCUUGUUGAAAAUAUCUAUAAUUUGUUUGUUUUCACAUAUGCUAUUCUCAAAGCUUAAGACAGGAGGGUGAUAAGAAUUGUUUCAUCCAUGGCAAAUUAAGCGUUAUAGAAGACUCUUAUAAAGGCGGGUCAAAUAUUUCAAAUCGCCUUAAGGGCGAUAUAAAGGUUCUUGCAAAAGGUAUCAUCAAAAACAGUACUGACUUACGGAAAAAGGAUCUAUUACAUGGCUCUCAGGCCAACUUCAAUAAAGUUUACUUUGCUGGCGCGUCGGGAUCAUCCUGAUGUGAGCUCUGGCCGACUUCGAUUUGCAAGUCGCCCAAUACCCAAUUGCACUUGGCCAAAGCAGCAAAGUCAUCUUCAUCAGUCAGAAUUGAUGCCAAGUCUGCUUCCAAGUGGAAAGGAUUCUUGGGUCGCCGAGGAGUUAGGCUGGUCGUCAUGAAGGUUGGCGGGCUGACCUUCUUGUUUCUGCUAUCAUAAGCCGCCUGGUAUUUUGUUAAAUCAAGGCUUGCGGCAAGUUGAGUUGCAGCCAGCCGAGAGUCCUUGACGACUCGCUGAUAGUCCUCUUCAACAAAUUCUGACCCAUCGUCCUUGAGCUGAGGAAAGCCUGCGGCUACUUCUUCUAAGUUGAUUUCUGGAGCAUACGCCAAACAACGACUCAGGGCAGUCAGAACACCUCUCCGGGCGGCUGACCGAGUUAACUCGCCAAUCUGAGGGGGAAGUGUGGACAAGCAGCCAAGCACCUUCUUGAUGGAAGUGUUAGGUUCUUUGGCACCCAUCACAGCUUUAACAGUCAAGACACUGCCUGUGUACAAUUGCUCUGUCAGCGUGUAAAUCGCCUUCAGCAUCAACAGACAGUCUUCUUGAAGGUUGGCGGCUCUCAGACCUGAAUCAUGAUGAUUAGCGACUUAUCAUAAGUGUUCUUUUAAAAAAAAAGGAGAGGAGGAGAUCAAAGGUUUAAGUAAAGCUUACCAAAGACGCCUUGCGCCAUGUUGGAGAUAUGACGCUUUAAGCCGGACAAUUCCUGUUGUACAGUGACCAGCCUAGCUUCAGCCUUCUCUGCUCUCUUCAAGGCGGCAUUUUGGUCAGCCUGAGCUUUUUUCAACUCGGCCUUGAGUUUUACCAGUUCGGCCAAGGCCAAUUGGCAUUUUUCCUCCGACUUAGCUCGGGCGUCUUGUUGUCCAGCUAAGUUUUUCCUUAAAUCGCUCAGCGCCGAUUCGGUCUGAGCAUGGUUUUCCUAUUGAAAGUUUAAAAUAAGGGCAAGUCUCAGAACUACUGCAAAGCAAUAUCCCUGACACUUGGGGGCUAAUGUAUAAUUUUUUCAGAUGAAAUUAUACAAAAAUCAAGACCUCGCUCAUCUUUUUGCUGAUGACCCGGCACUUGGGGGUUACUGGUCGCGAAGUUUUUUCUAAAUUUUCAAGACCCGACUCAUCUUUUUACUGAUGACCCGGCCCUUGGGGCUUAAUGGGAAUAAUAUAGUAUAACAAAAUUUACCUCAUGUUUGUUGUUUAACAUCUGCAGCAGGUUUUUCUCCAUCUCAUAGCUCACUUCCAGGCGACUUGCAAAGCCAGAGCAGAGUUCCUUAAACUCCAAAUUUGCAUAUUCGGAAAGUUUCGCCUUGGAGAGCCCAGACUCGGGAAUGGCUUGAGAGGAGGAUGCUACAUGUUUGGACAAAACUGUCGCCGCCGGCUUAGAAAAGCCAGAACCAGUAAUAACCACAACAUCUGGGUCUUCUGUUGUCGUCAAUGGGCUCGGCGGCUUAGGGGCAUCCAUUGUUUCCUUCGGCGACUCAGGAAGAUCCGCUUGAGUCGCAGGCUCAGUUUGAUCCGGAUUGUCUUGAGUCGGAGUUGAUUCUUUCGUGGGUUCUGAAGUUGCGUCAGGAGUUGAUCCACUGGGUUUCCUCUUCUUGGCCUGUGCCCUGAAAAAAAGGGAAUAAGCACGUUAAGGAAUUGAAAGCUCGUUAUUCUCAAAAGUCAAGGCAAGGUUAUCAAAAGACUUACCCCGGAACUCGAAUCAUUGGUGGAAGUGUCAACAUCACUGAGUCGCCAGAAGUGGGAGGAGAGUUCUGUAAGAAUUAUACGUCAAUAAUACAGGCGGGUUACAAGCGUGAUCCAAAGAGACAUGAAGAAUGGUUACUCAUAAGAGUACCUCGCUUGGUUUUCUUUUGUUCGUUGCUGGUAAGCCAGAUACCAGAUCGCCGGAGUGACUCCGUGUUUUCCGAUUUGAGGCAUGCUGUGCUUUCUUCAGUAGGAAAAUUGGGUCCAAAUAAGCAUUUGGAUUUGAGAAGGGAACUUUCCCACAAAUUUGCCUGGCCGACUUAGGUGGAGAAGGAGAUGAAUCGGAGGAAACAGAAAUUACCUCAACAGAGUCCUCCUGGCUUUCGUUAUCUUCAUUCUAUUUCAAGGAAAUGGAGAGAUAUAAAUACAAAGGUUAACAGUAAUAGAUGGCGAGUGAAAAGAGGACGAAUUUUUACCUCCGAAAGUGCAUCGCCGACUUGAGAUUCGUCAAUUUCGGAUGGUUCAGCUGCAACAGAUUUGCCCUUACCCUUGGUUUUCUUUGAGGGCGGCUUGACAUUUUUCAUGGCUUGCCUUUUGGGCUUCCUGGACCAGAAUUUAUCGCCUUUCUGAAAUGGCAUAUGUUACGAAACCACAAUACAAAUGAAGCAUAAAGAAUAAAGACCAAAGGCGGGUUAGGUUUGUUUACCUUGGGCGCCAGGUUGAUUUUGAAGAAAGGCUUAAGGCCGAUCUGGCCGCAUUUUCCUGCAGGCUCGCCAGUCAGCUUUUUGAUAAUGGUAACAAUAUCCUUUUCCAUUAAAGCUGUGCGAAAAUAGCAUUGAGGAUGAUCCAGGGUGCCAUCAAAUUCACACAUCAGGCCAUCCCGGCGGCUCAGAGGGAGGAUACGCCAUUCAACCCAGCAGCGGAUUAGGUCGACCCCGGUAAGGCCGUUGUUCGUCAAAGAUCUUAAUUCAGAUAGUAUUGGGAUGAAUUCCGAUUCCUCCUCCUCGGUAAGCUUGUCUGGAAGCUUGAAGUUGGUCGGAAGGCGAGUUGGCCUGUAACCCAGAAGCUUGUUCUCGCCUGCAGGAGACGUCUCUUGAUAGUAAAACCAAGACUCGCCCCAGCCUUUGGGAUGGCUAGGCAUGGUGAGUGAGGGGAAUGGGCUAGCCCUGCAGCGCUGGAUAUUGACGCCACCAAGUUCCAAGCUGGGGCCGUUAGGGAAUUCCGUUUUGUGAUUCAGAUGGAAAAAAUGCCAGAAUAAAGGGACAGAAGGCUCGAUCCGCAGAUAAGCCUCACAAAGAACUUGGAAUUGGCACAAAUUACUUAUGGAAUUGGGUCCCAGAUCCUGGAGACGGACGUUCAUGAAAGUCAAGGCGUCCCUAAGAAACUUUGAUCCGGGCGGCUUAAAACCUCGCUCCAGGUGUUCAACAAAAACGAUUAUUUCCCCUUCUUUGGGGUUAGGGAGAUCUUCUCCGAACCCGGUGCGCCAGCCAAUAACAUCCUGAGGAUCCAAACUGCCUGGUUUCACAUAAUCGGCUAAUAUGGAGUCAUCAACCUUGGUAGGAAGCCAGUCACUCUUGAAGACGGCGCCCAUGCUACAAAUAAGUAAAGUAUGAUAUUACAUGCCUUGGACACCUACUGUAUGGGAUGAAAUCAGUUCAUUUAACCCGCCGAGUACUUUGAUUAAGGAAAGGUUUGACCCGCCAGAUCAAAGGGGCGAGUUGGGUCACUAUGGCGACCUAUGGAAGUGUGGUUAUUCUCAAGGGCUACGUUCUGAAGACGGUAAAAGCGUUUCAUUUGAAGUACCAGGAGAUGAGGACUACAAACAACUUUUUGCAAACAGUAAAUAAGGAAUGGAUCUACCAGACAGAAGAGAAAACCUAAAGAAAAUGACUGGUCGCGACAGUUUAUUAUCGGAUGACGCCCUUCGCUUGGCGGAAACAUUAUUUUCAAAUAUUCACGAGUAAAGACGGAUAAGUAAAAGUAUUCGGAAUAUUAGCUAUCCUACCAACGCUCGUGUUAAUCGAUUUAGAGCAGGUAGCAUCUAUAUGCAAGGAGCUUCAAGAACACGACAAUGGCGGGAGUUCAAGCGGAGAGUGAAUCUACUCCUAAAAUUAGGUGGAGGCCUAACCUGAUGCUGUCGGGGAAGAAGAGCCGAUGGUGAUGGGGUUUGCUGGAGAAGCACUGGCGUCCCGUCGGGCGAAGAGGUUUUCAGCGGCGGCGAAGUUCGUGGUAAAUGGCGAGGUUAACGACGGCGAAGCGGUCGACGAUGACGACGGCGGAUGUGUUGGUUGCGGCGCAAGAAUGGACGACGGCGAAAGCCCACAGGCGGCACCGAAGCUCCUCGUGUGAAGGCCGAAAGCACGGUCGGCGGCGGAUUCCUCGGGGCGAUAAGUUUUUCUCGCUGCACCGGUGGGGAGGAAGGUGACAAGACUGGUAGGUGGGAAGCGCCAGUUGUGUCCCCCCUGGCCUAUUUAUCAAGGCAGGUGUUGGAAUUGAGGCGCCAUGAGCGGGAACCGCCGGGGGAUAAAAGAUUCGCUAUAAAUGCGUGCCGAAUAUUUCGGAUAACAAUGCGCUAAAGAUCCGUUGGAGUUGUGGCGGUCUUCCCGAAAAAAGAGGAAUAAGAAAAGGCCACUUAGUAAUGAUCUGGCAACUUAAGGGAUUUUCAGUGCCCAAAGGCAAUGGCGGGUGUACAAUUUUUUGACAGACGCAGAAGAGUAGGGAAUGAAUCGCCUUUAAUGGAGCAGAGGUAUUGGCAUGAAGAGGAAAGGUUCAAGUCAAUUCGGGGCCUAAUGUUGGGAAUGUAACCAGUGGAUGACCCGCCCUAGUUGGGCCGGGUUAUCCAUUGGGCGAUUCAUCUAAACGUUUAGUUGGGCCUCGUUUUGGCCGAAUCGAGGUCGUACGACGAGUAUGGCUCUUGGCGGGUCUCCCAGCUUUGGAAGAUGGCGAUUUAGAGACCGCAAUGGUCACGAGUUGUAGAAAGGAAGGAAUCCUUGUAAACCCUAGGGAAUCGACCUAUAUAUAAAGGCGAAGUCCCGGGGGACAGAGGACAGGUGAGAAAUCAUUGAGUGCUAGGUUUAGGCGAGUUACGCCUUCCUUGUAAUCGAAUCCAUAUCAAUACACACAAAAGCAGGACGUAGGCUACUACCUCCUCCCGAGGGGCCGAACCUGGGUAAAUCGCCGUGUCUCUCCCGCUUAACCCCUUUGAGUCACCACCAAAGUGCGAUGGCUCCAGUAUUAAGUCCUUUCACGAGGACAUCUGCCGUGAAAAAACCACGACAGUAAGUCUCUCAGAUUUACCAUUCUGAAUAGCAAGAGAAUGAUAAGAGUAAGUCAUCAUGGUGAUCAAUCUAUUCCACACCCAAAUCAUUGCUCUGUAUAAGGUUUAGCAAAUCUUGCAUUCUAACACUUGGGCAUCCUCACAAGCAUUGCACAAUUUCUCUUGUACAUGAAUGAAGUUCGGACGAAUCCAUUGGUUCUGCAAGCUGAACGAAACAUCUAUCGUAUUUUUACCACUCUUAGGUUUUGUGCGUGCUCCUAAGAAAACGUUUGCUGACACGUCAUAGCUUAUCCCUUCAUGCUCUUGGGGCAACCUUUUUGAAAAUCUUGGGAUGCAUCCUUGGUACAUGUUGUAUUCCUUGAACUAAUUUUCCUUUCCAUUGGUUUGAUUAUCCUUAGGUAUUGUUUCAUCAUAGUAAUUCCUUCAUUUCAUCCUCAUUCUAUUCUCGAAAUUCCACUUCAAAAGUACUUGGUUACAAAUUUUGUCACCCACAUAGUUUGAUAUGGUCCAACAUUUCCUUCAAAUGUAUUCGGUGGAUUUGACUCCUCGGUAUGCAUGGUACAUUCCUAUUCCUUGGAUCCUGUGGUUUUACCGAUUACUACCACACUUAAAAUGAAAUAUACUCAUGCCUGCAUAUACCAUAUUUUCUCAUAUCCUCAUAAAUGGUCAGAGAUCUUUGUUCAUAGAGAAACAUCGCAUAUAGUUUCAACAUAGGACAUCAUGACACAAUAAAUUUUAUUGAUUCAUGAAGUUAUUACAAUCUCAGAGACUUCCAUUACAAAAUUUAACUCCAUAAACUCAUGAUAACAAGAGGGCUUCAUGCUACACUUAUUGCCAUUGUCAGAACUUAACUACUCCAUUUUAGAUUUCUUUCCCUGUGGACAGUUACUAGCAUAAUGUCAUGCUUCCUUGCAAUGAAAACGAAUGCGUUCCGACAAGUCUCGGGGCUUCUUGGUGUUUGCUGUUGCUCCUUGGGUUUCCUGCUUCCUUCUUGGGCACAUAUUGCUGUAGUGGCCCAAUUCCUUACACUUGAAACAUCUGAUAUGACUCAGGUCUUUAUGUGUCGGGAUUUGACUAUGGCUGGUGUACUUUCUCUUCUUUCCGAAAUCCUUCAUUCGGGCCAGUUCUUCUAUUUCAAGUGGAUCCAACUCUACUUUUUCUGUCGAGAAGUCUCCCAGAUAUUUAUGGCUUUCCUUCAUGCAAUCCUCUCAAAAAUGUCCUUCUUCUCCACAUGAGUAACAUGCAUUGGGAAAAAAUAUGGUUAGGCCUUGUCCAUCAGGGUCUCCAAUAUUUUCCUUCAUCACAUGUUCUUCUAAAAUCUUCUUCUUGAGCGUUUCCUUCAUUGAUUAUUUCUGUUGCUUGACAACUUGUUGUACGUUGUGGUAAACGUGACACUGGGCUGGGUAGUGAGUGGUUCCUUCACACAAGAAACAAGUCACCUGACUAGUUGGGCAUUCCUCCCCUAGGUGAUUUUCUUCACAAUGAGGGCAUCCAUCCUUGUCUUCUCCCUGGGUGUGUCCUAUUUCUCCACAGAUCUUACAUGCACAAGGUUUCUUCAUCGGGCUAUCAUAGCACUUCUGAAUGAGACGAGCUCUUAACAGAGUCUUCUUGAAUUCGUCCUAAGUUUCUGCUCCACUAAAUCCUUGUAUGUCAUGAUGCAUUUUCCACCAGAUAGCAGCACUUUGUGUAAAGUACUGAAGAGCAUGUGCCACUUCAUACUUCCUUGAAAUUAAAUUGCUCCUGAAGUGGUUCUCCAUGUUCUGAAUCCAUAUUUCAACUUCGAGCUGGGUCAUUGGUCCAGAGAUUACAAGUCCAGCUUCAUAUGUCAUCUAUUUGGUCCAAGGUUUUGGGGAUGAGAUGGGUAAGAGAGAGAGAGGGAAAGAGGGAUAUACACACAAUACAAACAAUAUUUUUGAGAAUAGGUUUUAUUUGUGGCUGUCGGAAAACACACACAAAUGACGGCUCACAAAUCAUCGUAUCUAACAUGGGUAUAUAACAGGUGUUUGGACUUCUAAUGGCCAUAUAAAUAUUGGAACACUUCAGGGUCUUCAAAUUCUUCGGUUCUUGAGAGUCUUCAAUUGGUGCAGCUUCAGUUUUUCAAAUGCAUGGUGAAAUGCUCUUUACUUUGAAGUGGGACUCAGCUAAUCCUUUAUGUGGUCCAAGGGGAAAGGGUAUUGUCUAACUAUUUGAGGUGAGAGAGAACAUUUGAUGAAAUCAGAAGAGAUGAGAAGUAAAGAAUGUUCUUGAAAAUAAAAUAUUAGAGAGAUGCUUUCCUAAGGGAUUUCCAGUUUCUAGGGUCAUGUCCUACAAUCAACAUGUUCUCUGAUACCAUAUCUAUAGCGACCCGACUCAAAACGAGUCAAGCCUCUGUGUGUUCCGUGCCAUCACUGGAUCAGUAUGCUGGAACACACAGUACAUCAAUGUAUAUAUCAAAGUGCAAUCACAUGUAAAAUAACCUAAAACUGAUAUAUACCUCAAAAUCUCAGCGGAAACAGUCAAAGGCAGUGGAGUCCCAAUAAACACCAACGACAAGUUGAGUGCAGACCGUAACCUUGAAUCAUACUCUUACUCGUCGAAUACAAUAUCUACAACAUAAGAUGUUGCAGCCGUGUAGGUCAGCAUAUCGAAUAUGCCGGCAAGUCAGAAAAGAGAGGGGUGAAAAUAUCAUCUAUACUAUAUGCAUAUACGACACAUGGGGCCGUAGUUUUAAGUUUGGCGUAAAGCAAAUUUUCCUACAACAAGAGAGGGUCAAAGCAAGAUUUACUACAUUGUUCGUUGUUAAUGAGAUGGUUCCACCAACCAAUUCUCAUACCCAAGUUAUAAAUAUUACCCACAUCAAUAUUAAAUGGUGUUGAGAAUUCCUAAUAACUUUAGUUCCUUCGACUCAAGUUGCCCAUGACCGUGGACACGGCUAAUCAAUUACGUUUGAGUACUCAGCAGAGUUUUGCACACGUUCCCCACAAGAUUUGAUCGCCUCCGUUGGAGUCCUCACACUUCAGGAUGUUUGAGAACCGGAUGAUCAAAACAUGGUCUUUCAACGGGUUCCUCUGAGCCACUGUCGGUGCCCAUCCAAUCCUACCGUUCUUGUACAUCUCGUAGUACCGCUCGUCCAAAGUCACCACGUUGUCCAACCAAGCCAGAGCCCAUAAUGACUUGUGGCUNNNNNNNNNNACUUGGGUCUUCAAAUAUCCAUCCAUCUCUUUGAGCCUGGGUGAAGCUUUCCGAAAGAUGUCAUGGCGCUUCUGCAUGCAUCCCAAGUCCUCCGCUGGUUUUUCCCACGGAGCCCAUCUGAACCGUCCUUCACCCAGAGGUAUAUUUUGUUCUGAGGUCUUGCAAGUCUUGGAUUCUUAAGGUCUUCAUUAUUAAGUUUCUCACAACACCCAUGAUAAACACUCAACCAAACCCCGUCUACCAUGAGCAUAGCAAAAUAACGUCCCUGCCAAAGUAACAAGGGUUUAGGGGUGCCUAUCAUAACAUACUACUCAAUAACCAAAGUUUCCAAGUACCUACUUUCAUGCAAUGGGUGAAGAAGGUUGAAACUAAUGUAAUAAAACCAUAGGUAAAAAUGUGAUCAAUGUGAACUUGCCUGGUAAGGUUGAUGAAGAAGAAUAUCGCUCUCAAGAAAUAACUUGAUAGAACUAUUCAUCACUCUCCGUCGAUAUCUAUAUAAUCAAACAUAAUAUUCGUAUAAGCAAUCCUACUAUAAAUCAUCCUAGUAAUCAGUAUAACAAACAACAAUAAAAUUUGAUGCAAUAAAACCAAUAAGAAAUAUCAAAUAGAAAUCCAAAAGGAACUUCACAGAAAAACUAUGGAGUCUUCUACUACAACAAUCACUAAAUAGUUUUUGUUCUAAUUAAACUUAACAGAAAAUGGAACACUAAAAUAGUAAAAUAAUAGAAAAUAAAAAAGAAAAUUAACUAAGAUAACAGAAAGUAUUUUUCAUAAAACUGUAUUUUUUGAAAGUAUCAUCAAAUAGGACAUCAAACUAGCAACAAAAUCAAUUUGCAAGUUAUUACCGAACUAGAAUUGAUUUCAUGCUAUCAAAUAAAAUAAAAUUUUCUUGUUGUUGAAAACCUACUGUUAACUAACAGGAAACAAAAUAUAACCUUUCACAAGUAUAAACCAAAAUAAAUUAAAAACAAUUAUAGCAAAAGAAAUAGCAAUAAUCCAAGAAAGAACUAAAACAGAAUCUGUUUUACACACAAUAUUGAUUAAAAGUACUCCAAAAAUUCUGAAAUUUUACCUAGUGAUAUAUAAGAUCACUAGCGAUCAGCAGCAAAAAGAAUCAACUAAAAAUCUAUUUUUAAACUCCAGAUAUUAACAAAACAAGAUUUAAACCAAAUCUGUUUAAAUUCAGAAUUUAAAAUUUCAAACAUGGUAAAAUUUUAUAUCUACAGAAACUACACAAAAUUUGUGAUCCAACGCAAAAAUAAUCACCUCAAUUGGAGUUAUAGAUUAAAAGUUAUAAGCAAUCUAAAAUCAGGUCCAAAUCUGUUUCAGAAUUAAAAACAGAAAAAGAUUAAAAGAAAAGGUGAUGUGGCAAGCUGUGAUUGGCUGGAGAUCGUGCACGGUUUAGGCUAACUAACGGACGGUCGCAAUAUAAAGGAAACCUUUCGGUUUUAAAUUAACUAACUGGGAACCGAUCGGUUUUCUAACUAAAACCGAAAGGGUAUCCUAAUCUAAUCUAGAGCGUAUAUUAUGGAUCCAACGGUGGGAAAAAGAAAAAAAGAGAGAGAGGGAGCUUACCGUGGCAAAGAGGAGCUCCAGCGCUGGUAAUGGUGCAACUGAAGGUGAGGUGGCGAGGGGAGGCGGCUCGGGUGGUGUAGGGGGCGGCGUGGUGGUGGUUGCGGCGAAGGAGGGUCCCGACGUUCUCCUGGUAGCGUCAGGAGGGUCCGAGGGCGAAGGGAGGUGGGGCGACACGAGCUCCUAGUUUCGGCCUGAGCAGGACCUUCGGCGAGGGUGGAGGGCGGUGCUGGGGCAUGGAGACAAAGGGGUCUUGGGGAAAAUGGAGAGGGGAGGGGGUGAGGAUCUUAAAUAGGGCCUCGAGGGGCGAGGGGAAGGAAGGUACGCGGAGAUCGGGGAAAGGAAUCGACAAGGAAUCUUCGUGGAAGUUUCACGCGGCACGGAAGGAAAGGAGACGACAUGUGGAAGAAGGAAGGUAUCGGGCCGGAUCAUAUAUUCCUAACGGGCCCAGAUGCCUUUCCAAAGAAAACGAUUUGUUUCCUUUUAAUAAAAACCUGAAGGUAAAACUUAAAAAAUUAAAUAAAUAUACUUCCAAAUAUAGAAGUAUUAUAUACCAAAAUUAUCAGAAAAAUAAAUCCAAUAAGAUGGACAUUUUUCCAGGGCUAAAAUAAAAACUUCAGAAGAAAUAUUAUGUUUUCAGAAAAUUGCCUAAAUGAUUUAUUUCCUUUUACAAAGAUUUUUCAAAUGACCUCCUAAGUUUUAGGGUUCAAAUAAUUUUCAAAAUGCCCUUGGUUUGAAGGGUCAUGUUCCUCCUGUCAUAUUUUUUUAAUAUAUGUAUUCAUUUAAACAUUGAAAUAGCAAUAGGAUCAAAUACGAAAAUGAAAUCCAUAUAGGAAAUCUUUUAUUAGUUUUCAAAUCCACCUUUCAAAAUCUUUAUAGUUGAAGAAGUCAUGUUAUCUUCUCUCACUGAUUUUAAAUGGAUGAAUUUGAAUUAAAAGAAAAUGGGAAAGUCCUUUUAUUCCCUCUCAUUCAAAAGUUUUAAAAUGUUUUCAAAUUUCACUCAAGUUUCAAUCACUCAAACAAACAAACAAUCAAUCUAGUAAUUAUAUUAACAUUCCAAAAUUUGGGAUGUUACAAACCUACCACACUUAAAAUGAAUCUCGUCCUCGAGAUUCUAAGAGGUUAGAAAGAAAAGGUUAGGGUUUGGGGGUCUUCUAAAAAAUCCAAUCUCGUGCAAAGUGGGAUGCUACCACACUUAAAAUGAGAGUUACCGGUCCCUCAAAUUUCAAACAAUCCUGUGGGGUCUUGGCAUAUGACUCCUCACAUUCUCCAUACCAACUCCUUUGGUGAUGCUCUUGCUUUAUGCUCAUAACAUUUCCCUCAAAAUCGAGGGUUCUUCUGUUGAUAAAAGCUUCUUCCAUCACUUGGUAUUCUUAACUGACAAGUCUCGUGACCAUUCUAAAUAACCUAUCGAUGAUUAUCAUGGUGGUCUACCAUUUGUGGGUAUGCUGCAGAGAGAAGGGUCUUGGCUUCAUCCUCACCCUAAAAUUUCCGACGCGUGACAACACUUGUCAUGUACAUGGGCUUUCAUCAUACCAUUCUAAGGCUUAAACAAAAGCUUCAAAGAACACCAUCUCUCUCUAUGGGUAAGUGUUGGGAAUGUAACCAGUGGAUGACCCGCCCUAGUUGGGCCGGGUUANNNNNNNNNNNNNNNNNNNNNNNNNNNNNNNNNNNNNNNNNNNNNNNNNNNNNNNNNNNNNNNNNNNNNNNNNNNNNNNNNNNNNNNNNNNNNNNNNNNNAAAUAAGCUUUGUACGAACCUGUGAUGAGGAAGACAUAAAAGCGACAGACUGCAUAAUUAAGUUCUUUAUCACAGGAGGCAAUAUAAAGUGACGUUCCUCCGCACUAAGAGGACACGCAUUCAAACCUCAAAAGCGCAUGACAACCUCUGCUUCCCUCUGCGAAGAGCCUAUCUUGUACCUUUACUUUUUGCCCUUGUAAGAGUCAUGGUGAUCUUCACCAAUUCCCUAUUUUGCCUUUGUCUUGGCUACCGUCACAUGCUUUGGAAAGAUCUAUAUUCAUAUAUCAACUUGGAGUUGAGUACUUAUGCUUUAUUUAUUGUUGACUUUACCCUUGAGGUAAAUCGUUGGGAGGCAAAACUAUAAGCCCCUAUCUUCCUCUAUGUCCAGCUGAAACUUUGACACCAUGAGUACCACGUGAGUUGUAACAAUUGUGGAAAACAAAAGAGAUGAUUGAGUAUGUGGGUUUGCCUUACAAGCUCUUAUUUGAGUCUUUCUGAUGUUAAGAUAAAUUGCAGUUGCUUCAAUGACUAUGGACUGUUGUUGGUUACUUCUCGGUAAGGUUUUUGCUUCAUACUUUGCUUUGUGAAGGAAUUGUUACUUUCCCAUAAGAAUCUUUAUGAUGUAUUGCUGUUCUAUGUGUGAUCAUGAUGCCCUCAUGUCCGUAUUAUGUUUUAUCAACACCUUCAUCCCUAAACAUGUGGACAUGUUCAUGGAACUUGGUUUUUGCUUGAGGACAAGCGAGGUCUAAGCUUGGGGGAGUUGAUACGUCCAUUUUGCAUCAUGCUUUCAUGUUGAUAUUUAUUGCUUUAUGGGCUGUUAUAUUACUUUGUGGUACCAUAUUUAUGCCUUUUCUCUCUUAUUUUGCAAGGUUUAUUUGAAGAGGGAGAAUUCAGGCAGCUGGAAUUCUGGACUAGAAAAGGAGCAAAUCUUAGUCCACUAUUCUGCACAUCUCCAAAUGCCCUGAAAAGUUACGUGGAAUUUUUUGGGAUUAUAUAAAAAAAUACUGGGCCAAAGAAGUACCAGAGGGGGGCUACCAGGGCGCCACAAGCCGUGCCACCGCCACCCCCGGAUGGCAAGCUUGUGGGCUCCCUGACGGCCCACUGGCCCGCCUCUUUUGCUAUAUGAAGGGUUUCGUUCCAGAAAAAUCAAUGGGGAGCUUUUUUGUGGUUUCACCGCCGCCACGAGGCGGAACUUGAGCAGAUCCAAUCUAGAGCUCUGACAGGACGAUCUUGACGGGGAAACUUCCCUCCCGGAGGGGGAAAUCGUCGCCAUCGUCAUCACCAACACUCCUCUCGUCGGAGGGGAGGCAUCUUCAUAAACAUCUUCAUCAACACCAUCUCCUUUCCAAUCCCUAGUUCAUCUCUUGUAACCAAUCUCCGUCUCGCAACUCCGAUUGGUACUUGUAAGGUUGCUGGUAGUGUUGAUUACUCUUUGUAGUUGAUGCUAGUUGGAUUACUUGGUGCAAGAGUUUAUGUUCAGAUCCUUGAUGCUAUUCAUUACACCUCUGAUCAUGAUUAUGAUUAUGCUUUGUGAGUAGUUACUUUUGUUCCUGAGGACAUAGCAUAAGUCAUGCUGAUAAUAGUCAUGUGAGUUUGAUAUUCGUUCGGUAUUUUGAUAUGCUGUAUGUUGUCUUUUCCUCUAGUGGUGUUAUGUGAAUGUCGACUACAUAACACUUCACCAUAUUUGGGCCUAGAGGAAGGCAUUGGGGAGUAGUAACUAGAUGAUGGGUUGCUGGAGUGACAGAAGCUUAAACCCUAGUCUAUGCGUUGCUUCGUGAGGGGCUGAUUUGGAUCCACUAGUUUAAUGCUAUGGUUAGACGUUGUCUUAAUUCUUCUUUUGUAGUUACGGAUGCUUGCGAGAGAGGUUAAUCAUAAGUGGGAUUCUUGUCCAAGUAAGGGCAGUAUCCAAGCGCCAGUCUACCCACAUAUCAAACUAUCAAAGUAACGAACGCGAAUCAUAUGAACAUGAUGAAACUAGCAUGACAGAAAUUCCCGUGUGUNNNNNNNNNNNNNNNNNNNNNNNNNNNNNNNNNNNNNNNNNNNNNNNNNNNNNNNNNNNNNNNNNNNNNNNNNNNNNNNNNNNNNNNNNNNNNNNNNNNNUGUCAGAUCUGAGGCAUGCGCCUCCGAUCUCCCUCCCUCCUAGUCGCCGCCGGCGUCCCGGCAGACCGCCGCCGCGCAGAUCCGCGCACCAACCGCCUCAACAAAUCCCCACGGGCAGAGCGAGAGAGCCCGCCCUCCUUCUCCUUCCCCUCGUGCUCACAAGUAUCCCCCCUCUCUGUAUCGGUGGUGGUGCUGCUCCUCCUAGAGAGUGCUCUCCUCUCUUCUCUCCCUCGGCUGGAAUGGCUGCUGCUUCUCUGGUGUGGCCUCCUCCCCUCCCCUUGUGGCUCGCUUUCUAGGCCUCAUCCUCUUUUUGUCGCUGCCCAUCCCCGCAUCCGACGGCCAGGAUCCGCCCGACGCAUCCGACGGCCCCGACCCCCGCGCGCCUGCCACCGUGGCCGCCCCCACCGCCUACCACCCAACACGCGAUAAAAUCUCGUGGACGCUUCCUUACGCCACAAGCAUGGCCCGAUGACCGACACGUGGCGGGGCAGCCGAGCGGGGUGAAACCCACCGGCAACGGGAGGUGGGUGGUUGAUGGAUGGCGGCACGCCCGUUUGUUCGCUUCCCUAACAAAUCUUUUUAUCCUCUUGUAAAAACUCAACACUCCACGCAAAAUAAAGCAAGAAUAAUACAAUACGAGUACAUAAAGAUGAAAUGGCGCUACGCCAUCGGCUUUGGCACGGGACCACCGCGCGCGGGGUCCGCGUGGACGGAUGGGCCGCCUGAUCUGGACAGUGCGGUGCGGUUUAACCGGGCUGACGUGGCGCCUGCGCGCACCGGUUGGUUGCUACGGGUGGGUUAAAAGGGCACGAGGAAAGUCUCCAGGCAGCAGCAGCGGCAGUGGAGGCGGGCGGGGCCCACGCGCGGGCCCGGGCAUCUCCCGUCUCAUCCGCUUUUCUUUCCUUUUUCUGUUUCUCUUUCCUAACGUUCUGCUCGUGGGCUCCGACGUGGCGGAGGGGGUGACGUCGGCGGGGCCCGCCGGCCACCAACCUUCACCGCACCACUGGCCUACUUCUACUCUGAUGAAUUAUUAGUAAGAUAUUCCUUGAAAACACCCAGUAGUUUAAUAUCAUUACCACGGAGGAGAUCCGGAAGAUGUCAUUGUAUACGCGGAUUGGCGNNNNNNNNNNNNNNNNNNNNNNNNNNNNNNNNNNNNNNNNNNNNNNNNNNNNNNNNNNNNNNNNNNNNNNNNNNNNNNNNNNNNNNNNNNNNNNNNNNNNAAAUAAAGCAAAUAGGGAAUUUCUGAAAAAACAUUUUUUAAAAGUUUUUAUUUUGGCUUUAAAAAAAUGUUAUUCGGGUAGAGAUUUAUUUUCUGAUUUUUUUUGGUAUAUAAUACCAUAUAUAGAAAUUUUGAUUUAUUUUCUUUUUUAGCUUUUAUGUUUUUCUGUUCUGGAAAGAUUAGAUAUUAGGAAAGCCUUUUUAUUUUUUUUUCUAACCACAGCCGCCGCCGGGCGCUAGAUAGCCAACUGGGCCGAGCCACUAUUCCAGGGAUCUCAAAUCCCUUAUGCCCCCAACCGGCCCGAUCCCUCUACCCCUUUUCUCUCUGCCCAAGGGGCCCCAACCGAAGCCUUCUCUCCCCCACGUCGGCACUUCUCCCUCCUCCCUCGUCUCCUUCCUUUCCUCUGCAGACCGACCGAGCGCCUCCUCCCAGCUCGGGAAUUCCCUACCCCAAGUACUCCCUCUCUCUUACCUUAGUAGCACCCCACCCUGCCUUUCCCUCUCCCGCUGCCUUCUCUUCCCCGUCGGUUUCUUCUUCCUCCUCCCCUACCAUCCCAGUACCGAGACCGACCCCUCCUCCCUCGGGAUUCCCUUUCCCUCACCUCCCCUCCCACUCGGCCCCUGGCCGAUGCCUUCCCCCACGUCGGCCAUCACCUUCCAUCUCCCUCCUCCCUCUCUUUCCUGAAGUGCUCCCGUAACAGAGACCGAGACCGACCAGGACAUCACCAGCGAUUUCUUCCCCAGCGCCCUCCCUCUCCUUCCUUAACACCCCGCCCCCAUGGCCUAUAUAACCCCAGCACCUCGGCCACCCCGUUCCCGUCCUAACCUAGUCGCCCCGCCCCUCGCCACUGCCACUCGCCGGAGCAGCAGCAGCCCCGCUGCCACCUCGGCCACCCCACAGGAGCGCCCGUCACCCCACCUCGUCGCUGCAUCCCAGCACCNCGAGCAGCAGCGCUGCACCCCACCUUCGGCCUACAGGAGCAGCAAGCUGCACCCCGAGUCCCCCNNNNNNNNNNNNNNNNNNNNNNNNNNNNNNNNNNNNNNNNNNNNNNNNNNNNNNNNNNNNNNNNNNNNNNNNNNNNNNNNNNNNNNNNNNNNNNNNNNNNGCAGCAGCAGCAAUUGUUUCAAAAUCAUCUGAACUCUCGCCCCAGGUCUGCUGCACCUAGCAAUGCAAGUGGAUACUCUGACCGUUUGAAUGCAACGAACUUUCAGAAUUUAAUGUAUCCGUCAAGCACUUCUCAAGGCGGAGUUCCUGGUCAAUCACCUCAAUUGAAGGCAUCGUCGAUGAGAGUGUCAGCUCCACCUUCAGCUGCCUCUGUCCCUGCUGCAUCCUCACCUUCUAAUUUGAUUAUGAUGAAGAACAGUGGUCUCCAUCAACAACAAGCAAAAGCUCUGCAGGCUCUCUCCACCCCAAAUCACCAGUCACAAAGCAUGAGUUCGUCGAAGAUUGGGCACUCCCUUACUAAUCUUUCUACUGGAGGAGGAGGGGACCUAUCUCGAUCUUCAAAUGCUCCUGUUGCUUCUGGUUCGCCAUCUAAUUCAGUCUCCAAAAGUACUGGUGGUAGCCCACCUGCAUCUGGAAGUGCGAAGGGUGGCCAGCCAGUUGUCCAAUUGUCAUCGCCUCAACAACAUGCAGCCAAGAACUCUCCUUCGACUUCUGGAUCCAAGUCAGCCUCCACAAAUCACUACAGCAGUAUGCCUAUGCCAUCUAUCCUUGGUCAGCAGCCAAACAUGGCUCACUCUGGCGGUAAGCAGCAGUCGCAUGGACCCUCAUUGAAGCAACAGCAGCCAUUCUCGCAAGGCCACUUCUUCAUCUCCAAUGCGUUCGCACCACCACAAGGUCCGCCUCAGCAUGUAAAUGCUGGAGCUGGUGCUGGCCUCUACCAAAAGCGCUCGACUGACAAGACGCAGCAGCAGCAACAGCAGAAUGCUGUAUCUGGUUCGUCUGCUAUGCUCUCUCUUGGUUCCAUGUCAAUGUCCACAGCUGCGAUUCCAGCUGAUGCAGGGAAGGCAGCUGGCAGUAACAUGAAGGCCAAUCUUCAUCCAGCUGCUGGUGGUUUUAUGCACCUUGCCACAGCGGGGCAAUCUGCGAGUGGUUCGCCUCACUCUCACAUGUCAGGGGCACAAUUGACCUUUUCAAUGCCGAUGCCAGUAAAGCCUACCAGUGAUCAGAAGCCUGCUGCUGGUAAUGGACCUAUAUCCUUCUUUCCCCUGCAGACGUUGUUCCAUGUAUCACUGAGUUCUUUCCACUAACAUAAGCUGUUGUGUUGUCAGGUAAGUAAAGGACCCAGACGCCAGAGCAUGGGAAUGCUGCUAAUCUGAUUGGGCGAGCUAACUGCUAAUUCUGUGGAAAGGUUGGCGCGUGGAAGAAGCGAUUGCGCGACAAGAGGCUGCGCAGCCGCGAGAGCCGGAGCGUCGUCGAAGAAGAUGAUGAUGCACCCAUUCCAUCCAUGCAGGAGCGCUGGCAAUCGAGUGAAACUCUAGAACGGCUGAUGGGAGUGAUGCUUGUGUGUAGUAGGUUAUCCUCCCAUGGUGGAAAGCUGGAGGUGCAUAGAAACCCCUUUUUUUUAGCAGUUUUAUGCAAGGAUGUCAAAAGCUAGCUGGUCUCUCUCUCUGAACUUCUCUCCCCUCCCCUCCAACUGCUGCUCUGGUCUCUUUAGAUUUGUUCGUUUUUGUUGUUGUCUUGACUGAAGGAAGAAGAUUUAAUUAGAAUGCAGGACAAGGGGAACUUUUGUGAUGCUGCUGCUGCUUCUCUUGCUUUUCCUCUUUUCGGGGGGGGGGGGGGGGGUUCUUCUUUCCAUGUUUUAGAAACAACAACUGGGGCAGACAGGGAAAUAUUUUCUCAAGUAGUAGUAUUAGUAGUAAUUGAUCAAUGAUUGGGAGGCUGCAUAGCAUGGCAUGAGAAUGACCAUGACUUGCCUUUUGGGUGUGCGUUGUAAUUAGCUAGCCUUGUAGAAGGAAUGAAUCAAUCAAGUGGUUGAUGAUGGAUAGACAAUCUUCUUAUGGUUUUGCUGUAAUAUUUCAGGUACCUGAUCUUUUUUGUUGCAUCAGUCGGUUUCUCUGGAUCGUCGCAAUUUUUCACAGGUGGUGAGGGGCUUGGGAGGGAUGGUUAGGGUGGUGGGCAGCAACGGCGCUGGAGGCAGGCGGAUGGGGCAGGGUAUGAGGCGGCGGCGGAGGAGGAAGAAGAUGAAGGAGAAAGAGAUGAACAUGCCGCGGCAUGGAUAUUGAUCUGGUGGUCAGAAAGGAGAAUGACUGAUGGAAAUAGACGGUUAGAAAACAAAGGAAUUCUGGCCUAUGUGACGAGGACUCCGCACCGAAUGCUCUCCCGUCCGAAAGUGCCGCUCUUUCCGGUCACGCCACUCCGCCAUUUGUUAACUUGCGUGGACGGACGCGUGCUGCCACUAUCUUCUUCGUACUCGUGCCUAUCUAUCUAUCGAUCUACUCCUAUUAUCCAUCACACUGGGGCUGGAUGAUGAUGAUCUCAUUCACAUGGAUCGCUCUCCUCCACCAAAGCUCCGGGCCGUCGCACGUGUCCGGCCUGAUAGCCACCCGACGUGCUGCAGGCUGAAAAGUAAGUGUCUGGAAUUUUUUGCCUUGCCCGGGGGACAUCGCUUUCCUUUCGCUUGGCGCAAUGCAAUGCAAUGGUGUUCUCUCCCUCCCGUUUCCUUUCCGGAGUGGGUCUGCACGCACGCACGCACGAACGAACGGAGCCUUUGUCCAGAUGCGUGCACCGCUCCGGUUGUUGGUGACAUGUGAUUAGUCGCGUGCUGGAUUGCUUGUUUAUUUAGGUUUAACCUGGCCGNNNNNNNNNNNNNNNNNNNNNNNNNNNNNNNNNNNNNNNNNNNNNNNNNNNNNNNNNNNNNNNNNNNNNNNNNNNNNNNNNNNNNNNNNNNNNNNNNNNNGAAUAAUAUCUCUUGCUUUGCAUUGUGUGAUGUUGGAGCUAGUGCUUCCGUUAUAACAAAAAGAAUGUAUGAUAUGCUUGAUUGGAAACCUUAUGAUCCAUGUUCUUUUGGUGUUCGUCUUGUUGAUUCUUCCAUAAAGAAACCUUUAGGGAGAAUUGAUGAUGUUCUUAUUAUUUUCAAUGAUAAUUAUGUGCCCGAUUAUUUUCUUAUUAUGGACAUUCAGUGUGAUCCUUCAUGUCCAAUUAUUUUGGGAUGUCAUUUUCUCUCCACCGUUGGUUCUAUCAUUGACAUGAAAGAGGGAAUUAUUAAAUUCCAGUUUCCUCUUAAAAAGGGAAUAGAACACUUCCCUCGAAAGAAGAUUAAGUUACCUAAUGAGUCUGUUACUCGGGCAAGUUAUUCUUUUGGAGUUGAUAACAAUUGAUCUUCUAGCAUUAUGCCUAGCUCAAAGGCAUAAAAGAAAGCGCUUGUUGGGAGGCAACCCAAUUUCUUUUUACUUUCUGUUUUAGUGGUUUUGAUGCUUGUUACUACAGUAGCAACACCAUUGUAUCUUUAUUUUUAAGCUUGGUGCCAAGUUAUAGCCUUCGAUUGUAACAAAGUUCAACAAUUGUGACAUGCUGUCCCUAAACAGAUUAUGUCUGCUUGACGGAAAAAAUCACCAAAAAUGACCAGAUCAUAUUUUUUAUCUGAAUUUUUUUGACAUCAUGCUCCAUAUAAUUGCAUUUCUGGAAUUUGUUCUGAGUUUUUUGAUUUGAGUUGCACAAGUGCCCCGAAUAAAUUAUUUACUACCUGAUGUUCUGUUUUUCACAGAUUCCGCCAUGUUUUGCGUUUUCAUUGUUUUGCAAAUCCUAAGCUUAAUUUUUAUUAGCAAAAACCUUUUGGAAAUCAUGAGAAGCAGUAGAUUUUCAUGAAAAUCUUUAUUUCCAGUAGGUAAUGAAUUAUUUUAUUAAAGGUACUAACCACUCUAAUCAGCUUAUGAUGAAUUCGUAUGAAGGGAGUUUUCAAGUAUGCCAUGGGAGAUGAUGAAAGGAGUGUCAAGCGCUCGAGCUUGGGGAUGCCCCCAUGCAUCCCAAGAAAUAUUCAAAGGAGACUCAAGCAUCUAAGCUUGGGGAUGCCCCUGUGCACCCCCUUCUCUAUCAACAAUCAUCAGUUCUUCCAUCUCCAUGCUAUAUUUUUAUCACUUCAUAUGAUAUGUGUUAUACUUGGAGCGUCUCGCCCAUUACUUUUUAGUUUGUUUUAGUUUUUCUUGUUGUUCAUAACAAGUAGGAACCUUGUUUGGGAGAGAUACACGCUCCAUUCCACUCUAGAACACAACAUAGGUUUUCAUGCUUAUCUUUUUUGUGUGUUCUAUAUCUUUUUGUAUCUACUGUCAUGCUUAGCUCUUAGUUUUCAUGCUUAUCUUUUUAAGAGCUAUUAUUUAGGUUGCUUCUGCAACUAUCUUGAUUUAUCAUGCUUAUCUUAUUUAGAGAGUUGGCUCGUUGCACUGAGUUGUGUGUCUUGCAUGAGUAGGUAAUUGAGGUUGCUAUUUAAGUAUAGUAGUAACUUGCAAUAGUUUUGAGGUAUUGAUUUGAGUAAUGUUUGGACUAUUGGUGCCAAGAGCUUGAGCCUAUUAGUGAUAGGUGUCAUAUUUUGGGAAAUCCGUGUGUUUUUCAAAAACUAAAAAUAGGUUGAGAACUCUAGCUACUAAAUUGAUCGCUAAUCUCUAGAGGGGUUGGAAUAUAUAGAGUACCCUCACGUUACCACGAGUCGAGGAUACGCAAGGAUAACCAAACCCCCAAACACUCCUCCUCGAGGUACUUGUCUCUUUGUGAAUAUCCUAACUAGAUAGACAGUUACCGAGAAUAAGUGUAUGAGUUCUUCGGACUAAUGUGAGUAUUCGAUUGUUGGCACUUCCACCAUCCAUAUUUUUCUAGCCUCUUCGGUACCGUGCAUUGCACUUUAUCACACUGAGAGUUGGUGCAAACUCCGCCGGUGCAUCCAAACCCAUGACAUGAUACGCUCUGUCAUACAUAAGCCUCAUUAUAUCUUUACUCAAAACAGCCACCAUACCUACCUAUUAAGGCAUUUCCAUAGCCUUUCCGAGAUACAUUGCCAUGCAACAUCCACCGUCUCAUGACUUGAUCUUCAUGUCAUACAUGAUUUUGCUUGAUCGUAGAGCCGCAUGAUAGUUGGGCCUUGCUCCAAUUAUUGCUACAUGACGCGCUAGUAUCAUUGCACAUCCUGCUACACUUGCAGAGGCAUACAUUUGCAUACAUCAUGAUAGUUUUCACUUGUCUUUAUGUUGAGUACUUCUUAUAAAGUGUGAUGAUUUUUCUUUUAUUCUUCUAAAACAUAGAGUGUUGCCCUUAACUGAGGAAAAGAUCCCAAAGAGGAUACACAAAAAAUCCCAAAGAGGACAAAUGAGAGAUAAAAAGAAAGAGCCAAAGAGGCCACACAAAAUAAAAUAAAAAGAGAGGAAAAGAAAAAGAGAUAAAAGGAGAGAAGGGGGCAACACUACUAUUCCUUUUGAAAGAUCCACACUCGUACUCCAUUGCUAUAUUGGUACUACAUAGAUAUUAUCAUUCAUGCAUAACUAUGUCGGGAUCCUUACACUAUAGAACUUGGUUUGCAUAUUCCAAUGAUGAGCCUCCUCAAAUGAAAUAUAGGUCUUCAUGAGCAAACAAGUUGGAUGCACCCCCACUAGUUCCAUUGGAGAGCUUAUCUUAGCUCAUAUGUGCACCCAUUACAUGGCAAUCCUUACUCCUCACAUCAUAUCUAUCAUUUGGCUUUCACUUGCCUAUGUUGUCCUCAUUGAUGUGAGCCUUUCACACCUUUUUGUCUUCCUUCCCCAUCAUUAUUCUUUUUGCCAUCCUAAGUGCCAACAUAUCUUGCUUAUGCUCAUCCAUUGCAUGAGUGCUCAAAAUCGAAAGGGAGAGGGUCAUUUUGACUUGUGCCUGACUAGUGGUUUGGGGAUGAGUCAAAAUAAGAUUCGAAAGGAGACCAAGUGUGAGGUUUAUUAGAUUGAGUUCUCAAUUAAAAAAAUAUUUUAUGAUCUCAACCCAUCUCCCACUUCUUGCAUGCAAACACCAUUUGGAGACAUUUGAGUUGCGGACAUGAAGAGCUCUUGCACCUUUAUGUUCUUACUUUACUAAACUCAAUAUUAGAUAUAAUCUCUUGCUUGUUAUUGUCUUGACUUGAAUUGCAUAUCUCACUUGAUUUACUUUGAAGUUCUUAUAUGUGUGUUAGCAUGUCACCACGGAAAUUAUUGUGUUAUCAUUUAUGUACUCGAGGACAAGCAAAAAUUAACCUUGGGGAUGUUGAUACGUCCCAAACGUAUCUAUAAUUUCUGCUUUUCCAUGAUCUUUUGGGUGACAUUGUUAUAUCUUUUUCUACACUUUUAUAUCAUUUUACACAUAUUUGGACUAACCUACUAACUCAAUCCACCCAGUGCUAGUUUCUGUCUGCUGAUGUCUAUUUUGUACUGGCUUUUACCCAAUUUUCCGAAGCUCGAAAAAUUCCAGAAACAAUAUAUAAAAAAUCAGCGAAACAGAAGCUUCCGGAUCAACGAAGAUCGGCCGGAGGGGGGCCAGGGGCCUCCCAGGUGACCUGCUGGCGCGGCCAGGCCCUAGGUCGCGCCACCAGGCCGCCUGGGUGGGUCCCAGGUCCUCCGGUGCCCUCCUUUGGCUGAUGACCCUUCGAAAACUUCCAGAAUCGCGAAUUUAUCCAUCGUUCCGCUGCCGCAGCACUUCCAAGAUUGGGAGCAUCAGGAGACCUCUUCCCGGCACCCCGUCGGAGGGAGGAUUGACCUCCGGGGGCUUCUCCACCGCCAUGGACGCUUCCCGGACCUGUCGUGAGUAGUCCCCCUUGGACCAUGAGUCCAUUACCAGUAGCUAUGUGAUGUCUUCUCUCCAAUCUUGUGCUUCAAUGGUUAGUCCUUGUGAGCUGCCCAACAUGAUCAAGGCAUCUAUGUAAUUGUCUUACUAUUGUUAUGCUCGGUUUGUUGGGAUCCGAUGGAUUAUGAGAUUAUGUUCAGAUUGUUAUGAGUUAUGUAUUUGAUUAUCCUUUCAUAUUAUGUUCCUUAGUGAUUCAUGCAUGUUCUCCGUUGCUUUGUAUUGCUUUAGCUGAGUAGUAGAUUGUAACUCCAAGAGGGAGCGUUAUGCAUGAUUGUGGGUUCAUGCCCCUCGAUGUCUAGCUUGAGUGACAGAAACAUGAGACUAGGGGAUGUGCUUAUUUCCACCAAGGAGAAAACAACGGUGCUUGUGACCAUGGUUGCAAGGAUUGUUUACCUUACGCAUAGUUCGUUAAUGCAGUUGUCCAUUCUUUGAGUUUACACUUUGGGUGGGGCUCGCAACUUAAUACCUUAGAGAUGUUCUCGAUAGAUAUCUCAAGGUGGAUGAUUAGUAAGUAGAUAUUGAUGAAUAAACAGUCUACUUGUCUUGGUGUACUGCCCAUUACUAUUGAACCUCUAACUAUCAAGUAGCAUAAUUAGCAUUGCGGUGCACUCAUAAUUCUGUCAAUUGCCCAAGUGUAAUUUUUUUACCCAAGCGUAGUUAUUUAUCAUCUUUUGGGAGAGAUACAUCACUAGUGAACAUCAUGUGACUCCGGUCCAUAUCACUAUCAUUGUUUACACAUCCAUCAUUUACCGCUUUCAUUUAAUUUUCCGUUGCAAUCAUUAUUACCUUCCCGCUUGUGUUUUGAUCCUUUGCAAACUACAAGGCCGGAAAGAUUGACAACCUCUGUGUACUCAUUGGGAGACCUCUGUGUACCCAUUGGGAGAAAAUAUAUUUGUUGUGUGCGCGGGUCCACGUCUUCUACUAACGCCAGGGUGGGAUACAGCUACUUGUUGAUGCUAGGAGUCCUACUGGUUCGAUAAACCUUACAGUCUCCAUGUAAGGGAAAACUUGCCGCUGACUACAUCACAACCUUCCACUUGGGGUAACCAACGGGGUGCGAGAAGUAUAUACAUAAUCUCGUCAUCAGUAGCUACACGCUUCUUAGGAGCUGAAGGCUUCUUUGGAGCUGAAGGCUUCUUUGGCAUAACAUCAGCCAUAAGAUUCUUCUUUGAAGGAGGGACCUCAGCUGUAAUUUCUUCCCCCUCAUCACCAGCAUCUUCUCUUGGGUCUCCAUAAAUAGAAGUUGGACUUCCAACAACAUGAACAACUCUCUUUCUGGCUCUUUUCUGACCUAGCUUCUUAUCAAGCCUAGCCUCUGGAGCUUUCAUAUCAACAGGUCGGGCAUACUCCUUCCUCAUAGUCUUCCUGACUGCUGUUUUCUCUUUCUGCUUCUGGGGAACAAUUUCCUCUUGGAUAAAGUCAACAUCUUCUUUAUCUGAAUUUAACUUCUUCCUUUACCUGGUAGCUGCCUAGGGCAAGCCAUGGGAGCUAGGUGUUCCUGGGUCAGAAGGUGUCCUCUCUGGAUUAGUGUGUAACUCCAUGUCAGCACUUGGCUCACUAAAGUUGUUCUAACUAUCCUCUAAUCCUGACAUACUGUCAAACAGCCAAGUAGACAGGCUGACAAGCAGACGCUGUGAAAUGAUAUAGAAGAUCCGGAAUGGAUGAGCAUCACAAAGUUCAGAAGUUUUGAAAUUAUUGAACUCUGAAAAGUUAGGUUUAACAUUCAACAAAAAGGGAUUUCGGUUCCACCGAGUAAAAGUUUUUGGAGCCACCAAGACUGACGUUCUCAUUAACAGAAACUUGACACCCUUUUCGGUUUCACCAAGAACGUUCUCAGUAACCCUAAAAUAAAAUCGGUAAGACCAACUUUUCUGAAUCGGUGACACCGAGAUUCAAUCUUGCGGACGGCUAACUCUAAGAUUUUCAUUGUUCUCUAAUAUACGAGGUUUUUCUUGUGGUUGGGAUGAUUGCGGUAGUGGACAGAUUUCAUCAAAGCCUAUUUGCGCAAGAAUCAGAAUUGCGAGCGCAAAAAGGGGCCGGAUCCAUACCUAGCUCGGUGAUGGAUCCGGUACGGUGAUGACGGCGGUGAAGAUUCCCGUCGAUGGUGAGGACUCCAGUGGCGAGCGCGCACGGGAGGUUCAAGGUGAUGUCUAGUGGACUUGGGCGUUGUAGCGAGGAGGUGCGGGAGGGGACGUUUGAAGCAGUUUUCCAAUCGUCGGGUCCGCGGGAUAUAUGUCUCCUAGCUGUCGAUGACACCUAGAUGGGAUUUUUGGUGCCACCGAGUUCCAUAACAAUCAGUAGAUAGUGCAACUCGGUGAGGCCGAAAAUGAUACCGAGAUAAGAAAACCUAAUCAACCCUAGGCUUCCAUGGGACCGAGAUUUUGAGGUUGGUCACAUCAAGAUACAUUUUGGGAGGUUUUAUAAUUCAGCCCUUGUCGAGACGGAUCUCCGAAUGCUCCUCACACAUAGUGUCCCUAAAGUUCUUGCUCAAAUUUUGUCAUGUAGCAUGAAUAGAAUUUAGGACGAGAAAGCAUAGAUAGCUAGAGAGAGGUACCUAUGAAUUCUUGUACAUCCAAUUGGCCAAAUAAAAAGAAAAUCAAAUAACAACAAUUGUAUAUCCUCGAAUGGGGAAAAUAUGCAUACCAACAUGAUCACACAAUAGGAUGUCAAAAGAAACAUGGUAAACAUGCACAAACACUCUAGCAUCUAUCAAGCACUUUAGCGAUGACGAAGUCAUCUAUAUAUGAGUAUAUUGACUUAGGAUCCAAGUAAGAAUAAUUGAUCAAAGGUCAUACUCAUUGAUUCAGCACAAGAGGGGUUACGACUUUUACAUAAAGCAUUAAUGUUUUCACAUAUUUAGGAGAUGCUUAUACUCAUGUUUUAGAGUGAAGCUCCUCGUUGAUGUGACAUGCCCCUAAGAGGGAUAAACUAACCUUGGGUUUUUUCGUAGAAUACUUCAAGUAGGUAUAGUACUGGUGGAUGCUCAUUGUUGAUGAAGAUCAUCUUGAGUUGGGAGCAAUCGUUGUUGUUUUUUACACUUUUCACCUACAUGGGUUACUCCCAAAGAAUAGGGAACAUGUGAAAGCAUAUCUAUGGACAUGGAAUGAAAUACAUCUGAGAUGAUGUCCAAAGAUGCAUUAAUUACCUUUUCCUUUUCUUACCUUUGAGGGAAUGUGUGACUCCUUGAACUAAUGCAUAUGGUUGGAUUUGUUUGCAUGUAGUUCUUGCCAGAACGAAUAAGAGUGAAUGUCAUUGGAGAAUUCACCCCUCAAGAACUUUCUAGUUCUUCCUCUUGGGGAUCCACAACAACUUGAUGGGGAUCCCUGGAGUUGUGGUAGCGCUAGAUGAAUUAGAGCUAGUAGUGUCCUUGGGAAUCCACUUGACCUUGGCUUGGGGUUCUUCCUCAAAUGAGUCAAUCUUCUCUUGAAGGUUGCCCUUGCCUUUGUGGUCUUGUGGAGGAAGGUCAUCUUGAGACCUUGUUCCCUUGGGGAGAGUAGGGUGAUACUUCUAAUCUUGAGGAACAAACUUUGGGAUGGGAUAUGGACUUUCUUCCCAUUCAACUCCAUUGGCAUGGAAGUAUCCAACACCUUGCUUAUUCCGAUGCCCUCCUUGCUUGCGCACAAUUUCCUCAAAUUGCUUAAUUCUGGCAAGACUCUUGAAGACACCUUUCUCUAUAAUCCCUUUCAAUAAAAUGUUUUCUUGCUCAAGUGUAACUUGGCUAAGAGAACCAUUAGUGGAAUCAAGAGAGCUACUAGUAACAACAUCAUUUGAUCUAACUUUAGCACUGUUGUUACUAGAUGAAGAAACUUCCUUGCCUUUGUUACCAGUGUACUUAGGUUCAACUUGUGGAACAAAGGUAGACAAGAGUAAUUGUUUGGCUAGAUAAGAAGAACUCUUCUUUCGAAUAUCAUCAUUGAUUGCUUUUAGAAACGCAUGCUCUUUCUCUAAAUUUAGCUUCGAAGCAUAGCUUGUCAUGAGUUCUUGCAAGCUCUCUAUGAUCUUAUAGAGUAGUUUCAUGAGAAAACUUAAGAGUGUUUAAUUCUGUAGUUAGUCAUUCAAUCUCUUUCUUAUCAUCAUCAUUCGACUUCUCUUGACUAGCAUGAUUAUUAUCAAGUUCAUUUUCAGUGUUAUCACUAGUCUUAUCAAGGAGCAAGUCAUCUUCAUCACUAUCAAAAUCAAAGUACUCGGGGUGUGAUACCUUGGGGCCUUGGCCCAUGAAGCAGUUCGCACUUCCUUCGUCUGGUGAAUAAACUAAGUCGUCGGAGUUGGAGGAAAUGAGUGCAAGACCAGAAACACCUUCAUCUUGACUAUAGUUGGAGUUGGAAUGGUAGCUUCUAUCGGAUUUGUUGUCAGACUCAAAGCCGGAGACCCAUUCACCAACGUGAGCUUGAUGUCUUGUUCUUGAGCUGCUCUUGGUGUACUUGCCCUUCGUCUCCAAUUCCUUUCCUCUCCGGGAGUAUCUUCUUUCAUAACGAUAUUAUUUACUCCUUCUCUCUGUGCGUGGUGACUCAUCUCUUGAGAUUCGUCUUCUAGGUAACUCUUCUCUUCAUUUGUGGGGAGUCAUGCACUCAUUGGAAUAGUGUCCGGGCUUCCCAUAAUUGUAGCAGUUUCUAUGAUGACUAGACGAACGCUUCUCAUCGUAUCUUGAGCUUGAGCUUUUCUCUUUGCCUAUACUCUUGUAGAACUUGUUGAAUUUUCUGACCAUGAGCCUAAUCUCUUCAUUGGUAACAAGGUUGUCAUUUCAAGUAGUGGGAGUAUCACUUGAAGCUUUGUAAGCACUACUUGACUUGUUGUGCAACUCAUCUUUGUCCUUGAGAGACAUUUCAUGAGCAACAAUCCUUCCAAUGACUUCACUUGGCAUGAUAUCCUUGUAGUUUGGCAUCAUUUGGAUUAAUCUGCACACAAUAUCGUAUCUUCCAUCCAAGGUACUAAGUAUCUUAUUGAUGAUGAAUUUGUCGGUCGUCUCCUCGCUUCCUAAGCCGACAAUCUUAUUUGUGAUCAGACCUAGCCUAGAGUACAUGUCAGCGACUCCUUCACCAUCCUUCAUCUUGAACUUGUCAAGCUCACUUUGAAGCAUAUCCAACUUAGAUUCCCUGACAUAAUCGGUAUCUUUGUGCAUAUAAAUCAAAGUAUCCCAAAUUACCUUUGCAUUCUCAGGGCGGCUGCUUUUGUUGAAUUCUUCAUGGCACAAUCAGUUGAACACGAUGUCACAGGCUUGAGCAUUGUAUUACAACAUCUUCAAUUCUGUCGUUGUCGUAGCACGAUUCGGUUCUCUUCCUUCUCCGAGGAAAUCACCUUGCACAACAACAUGAACAACAUCCCAAACGGCAGGAUUAUGCCCAAGAAUAUGCAUUUUCAUCUUAUGCUUCUAACUAAUGAAGUUUGUACCAUCAAAAUAUGGACCACUAUGGUUAUAAUUUCCCUCACAAGAUGACAUACUAUCCUAGGUUGUGAAACCAAUGCAAUGGAGACCAAAGCUCUGAUAUCACUCGUAGCAUCCAAAGUAUGUCUAGAGGGGGGUGGUUAGACUACUUGACAAGAUAAAAACUUAGCAUUUUCCCAAUUUUAGUUGUGGGCCAGUUUUAGCAAUUAUGACUAGUCAAGUUCACCCUACACAUGCAUAUCUAAGAGUAUAGCAGCGGAAAGUAAAGACAUGAAAAUGUAAUGUAGAAGGUAAGGUAAGAAGAUCAAACGCAAAAGGUUGACGCGACAAUUUUUUGCAUGGUUCCGAUAGGUGGUGCUAUCGUACGUCCACUUUAGUGGAGAAUUCAACCCAUGGAGGGUAACGGCUGCGCGAGUCUACGGAGGGCUCCACCCACAAGGGGUCCACGAAGAAGCGGCCUUGUCUAUUCCACCAUGGCUUACGUCCACACAGGACUAGCCUCACUCGGGGUAGAUCUUAGCAAAGUAGGCGAUCUCCUUGCCCUUACAAACUUCUUCGUUCAACUCCACAAUAUGAAGUAGAAGGCUCCCAAGUGACACCUAACCAACCUAGGAGGCACCACCCUCCAAAAGAUAAUAGAUGCGGUAGAACGAUGAACUCCUUGCUCUUGUGCUUCAAAACAUAGUCUCCUCAACACUCAAUCACUCUCUCACAAAUUUGUCAUGGGUAGGAGAGAUUAAUUUUGUGGAAAGCAACUUGGGGAGGCCAGAGAUCAAGUUUCAAAUGGUUGGAUUGGAAUCUCUUUAUCUCAACACAUAAGUAGGUGGCUCUCUCUCAAAAAACGGAUCUGGCAAGUGUAAGUGUGUUCUGAGUGCUUACAACAUUACAACAUUAUUACCCAACUCGGUGACACCGAAACCCAACCAUUACAACAUUAUUACCCAACUCGGUGACACCGAAAUGAAUCUCGGUAGUACCGAGUUCCACUAAAUGUGGCAACUUUUGAAUUCUCGGUGAGACCGAUAUAUAAAUCUUGGUGGUACUGAUACAAUGACCUAGAGCAAUUUCCAAAUCAUGGUGAGACUGAUUCCAAUCUCAAAAAUUCUGAUUCUUGGAAUUAGCUAAACAGAAAGUUGGUCACUGAUCUCGGUGGCACCGAUAUGGAAUGUUGGUGGUACCAAGAUGGUAGGGUUUGUCAUAGGAUCUAUCUGGUGAAAAAUCGGUAGGGCCGAGUGGAAAAAUUGGGUGGCACCGAUUUUGUUGGUUUACUUUUGACAGAGAUAUGUUGUGAGAAAAUGAGUGAAUAUUUUUGGUGGCUAUCUCUAAGCACUUGAGCAACCAAUUUAUCAUAAUACCUCACCAACUUUUAAUAGUAUUGGCUUUCCUAUGGACUCAAAAGUGAUUUAUCACAAAUGUAAAAUGUAGAGUCUUCUUGCUUGAAGCUUGAGCCAAUCCUAUUCCUUUCCUUCAUCAAGGUUUUUUGUUCUCACAACCCUUUAGGCAAGGUAUAUUUGAACUUUUUUGAAAUAUACUUGGAUAAGAUCAUUAGUCCAAUGAUGCAUAUGUUGUGAUCAAUUAUCAAAACCACCUUAGGGAGGAGUUGUGCUUUCACUCUCGUACUCUUGUAACCGGCUUACCCAACAAGUCACCUUCUUAUAAUCUACAAGAUGAGGUGCAUCAUACUCCAACUCCGCCUUAUCCUCCGGCUGGUCUUUUCAAACAACCUAUCAAUCCUAUUGAUUCAAAUUUCCACGAAUCACCCCCUUCAUCUGGCGACUCAUCUGCCAAAAACUUGUCACCUUCUUUGUAUCAUAUGUUUUCUUGCUAAAACUCUGAGUUGCAUAUACUUUAUCAUGCCCUCUUGUUUUGUAGGGUGAGGGCUAAGAAGAGGAACCCUUGGCGAUUCAUUUAUCAAUCCUGAAGUUCUUGAGCCAGAAAAUCCAGACACGACGGCUUCCAAAGCCACCAGGCGUGUUCAAGAACAUCAAGAAAUCCAAGUUGAUUUACCUCCUCAAACUGAAAUAGGAACAAUUGCUACUUCACAUAUGGAUGUUGAAACUGACCCGAAAACUCGUUCUGAUCCUCCCAUUCCUUAGGGAACCCUUCAAGAUGUUUCUUGUGACAAGAAUGCGGAGGUGGCCAUCAUUGGGUUGAGUUAUACUGCUCCUGGAACCUGUGAUGUGUUGGCAAAGCUUGUUACUAAGGAGGAAGUUGUCCAGUCUAUCAAUGGGAAGACUAAACUGGAGCUUCCAGGUUAUGAGACUUUCAAUAUUGAAGCAUUGCGCGCUGGUUAUCUUGAGCGUCUUUAUGCAAGCUGACAAGUGAAAACUGGCCUUGUGAAUAUGAUGAAUCUAAAAUAUGGGGUAUGCUUCACCUUGCUGUGUAUUCCGUGUUUCAUAUAUCCUCAUGUAGCUCCCAGGGGCUGACUCGUCUUCUUGAGAUUAGUCGGGUCUUGAUGAUUUAUGGAAGAAUUCGACAUAUAGCCCCCAAGGUCCGACUCAUCUCCUUGAGAUGAGUCGGGUCUUAAUGUUUUGUAAAAGAAUUCGACCUGUAGCCCCCAAGGGCCGACUCAUCUCCUUGAGAUGAGUCAGGUCUUAAUGAUUUGUAAAAGAAUUCGACUUGUAGCCCCUAAGGGUCACCUCAUCUCCUUGAGAUGAGUCGGGUCUUCUCCAUCAUAUAUUCAGAAAAAAGCUUAUAUGCAUUAGCCCCCAAAUGCCAAGUAUUUUGCUUGCAAUCUGCUUGGGACUUGUUUACAAUCUUCCUUGUCACAAUCAUCAUAUUGUCCUACCUCCGGCUUAUUGUUACUCCAAUUUUUGUAGGAAGCUAUGAAGGCCACUGAGUUAAAAGUCACUCAUUUGACAAAAUCUCUUGAGGUGGGACAGACCGCUCGAUCGGAGCUUGAGGAAAAACUUCAACUAUCCUUGGAAGAGGCGUAAAAAAUCAAGGUGGUCUUUGAGGUAGAAAGCAAAUCCAUAAAACUCAAAAAGCCACCUUGACCAAAUGUGCUAAAAAUGUUGAAGAUCAAUUGAAGGUUGUCUCAAAAGAGCUAUUCGGGUUAAAAAGGCAUAUUGACAACAUGACUCGAGACAUCUUUGGUUAGUAUACUGAGAAACUUUGUCAUUAAUCCGCCUAAUACUUAUUUAUGAAUACAACCUCGUGAAGAUUUGUGAACUUGAAUUUUUGUAGGGCACCGUACGUGCAAUCUUCAAGAUAACUGCUUACUAAAGGUCAAAGUCGUAUAUGCGUUGACAGAGCAGCUUUACACCGGAAGCCUAUGCAAAAUCAUAGUUGUCAUGGGGAACAAAGAGCCGGUGAAACUCGAAGAAGAUGUACUGGAAUUCCUCUCUACGAUACCAAGGAAAAUUGGAGAACUCAGGAGAUCAGCCACCCGAGCUGGAGCCACAUAUUCCUUGAGUCGAGCUUUGGAUUACUCAACGGAGCUUGACCCAGCAUAAAUGGGUGGGGGGUUCCAGUGCUAAAGGCAGACGGAUCAGCUUUUAUCGAGGAUGACUAUCGUCAGUGCGUUAAGGUGGCUCGGGUCUUUGCGAGUGAACUUGUAAAUGACAUGUCAUUGAAGAGUCAUCAUCGAGUGUAUGACUCAAACAACACUCGAGUCCAAACACUCGUAUUUAAAUCGAUUAGGUCGACUCUGAAGUGUCAUGAGCAAUACUUCGCCCCAGAUGUUGACUCAUCUCCUAUUUUGAAUGAACAAGCCAUAUUUCAAGUCUUGACCCACUACAACCGGAAUUUGGAAGACCUUCAGAUCAUAGAUUCGGGGAAUCAAGCAAAGGACCAGCCGGAUACAUCUCACGCACAAGACCCUAACAAAGCUUAACCCAGAAAAUCUAAAGGCCGGGUUACAAAAAAAUAACUUUCAUUCCACCAUUUGGGCUUGAAGUUCCUUGUAAUAUGGUUUAAGACAAUAGUUGUUUUGCCUGUAUCGUGCCUUUGUGCACGUUAUCAAACUCCUUGAUCUUGUCAUGAUGGCAAGGAAUCUAUAUCUAGGCGAGUUUUUGUUAACUCGCCUUAUAUCCUUAUGCACAUGAGUUAGAUAACUUUUGGUAGUUUAAUCUGUUCUGUCUUGGCUGACCCUUGCUUAAUAUUUGAUUGCUUCAAUCAACGCGGAGCAGGUUAUCAUAUCUCGGUCUCUAACAUUCUUUCACGAUAUUUGCCUAUUGAGCCAUAUAACUUCAAACUAUCCAUGAUAGUAUGAUUACUCUAUAACUGGGUCACUCUUUUAUGAGCCAGAAAAAUAGUGUUUUCACGUGAAAAGAUAAAAUGAUGAUAAUAUAAUAAUAAUUUGGCUGAGUGAGACACGGUAAAAGGAGACCGGCUUUCGAGGCUCAAGUCUUGCUUCAAUGAAGCAGGUAUGAUAACCCAUGGUUUAUCCUAGCUUAUGUAUGUCGGCUCUCACGUGACAAACCAAUUUUUUAACCUUGCUAAUUUAGGGUCCAUAGUGGAUUAACUAAUCAAGAGUACAUGGACUCACUGAUGAGAGUCACAUCAAACAUACAAGAAGGUUUAACCAUUUUGUGGUGUCUUUCCAGAUCAAGAGGGUGAGAAAUCUAAACUCGAUGAGUUCAAAGCCCCCAAGUGACCUAUGAUCGAUAGAAAAGCCCAGCAUAUGAUUAGAGGAGACAAUGCUUCUACUUCAAAACAUAUGGAGUUCAGAUAAUCUGGCUUUAUUCCAUUGAUCAUGAUGAUUUGUUUGGACCAGUAGCCCCUAAGUAACAUGUUUUGAAAUAAUAAAGACUCAUGCUCAACUUGUAGGCUGAAAACAACAUAGGCCGUGAGAUUCGAGGAUGCCACCUUUAUUACGUUCAAAACUAUAAAAGUAUGUAUACAAAUUGGGGGGUUAUAGGAAAUAAUGACCGAGUGGCUCUAAGUAUAAUAAGGCCGCAUGCGAGCAAUGUUCCAGGGCCGGGUUGUCUCUGCUUCAAAGGUGUUCUUACCGGGUCGUAGAUCGAUCAGGUAAUAUGAACCAUUGUUGAGGUUUUUGUUGAUGAUAAAUGGGCCUUCCCACGACAAUGAAAGUUUGUGCAUCCCUUUUUGAUCUUGAAUCAGGCGGAGCACCAAGUCGCCCUCUUGGAAUGUGCAGCUUUUAACUCUAUGGCUAUGAUAGCGAUGUAGGUCAUGUUGGUAUAUGGCUGAACUGGAUGUUUCUAAGUCUCACUCUUCCUCCAAAGCAUCCAAGAAUCUUGUCGUGCUUGUUCAUUGUCACCAUGUACAUAAGCAAUGACUCUAGGAGAGUCAUGACGAAUAACACUCUAUAAUACCGCCUCAGCACCAUAAACCACAAAAAAAGGCGUGUAUCGAGUGGACCUGUUUGGAGUUGUACUGAUACUCCAGAGUACUAAGGGGAGUUCCUCAACCCAACAACCCAGGGUACGUUUUAAUGGGACCAUAAGCCGGGGUUUGACCCCUCUCAGAAUCUCCUCAUUUGCUCUUUCAGCCUGCCCAUGGGAUUGUGGAUGCGCUACUACUGCGAGGUCAAGCCGGAUGUGCUCCUUCUGAAAAAACUGCUCCAUAGCUUCUUUGGAUAAGUUGGUGCCAUUGUCCGCGAUAAUGCUAUGAGGAUAGCCCAAACUAUAGAUUAACUUCUUCAAGUAUUUGGCCACUGAUUCCGCAUCGCAGUUGCUGACGGGUUCUGCCUCUACCCAUUUAGCGAACUUAUCAACCUCCACCAGCUCGUGGGUCUUUUUAUUCGGAGACAUUUUGAAUGGACCAACCAUGUCAAGCCCCCACACUGCAAACGGCCAUGUAAUUGGGAUCAUGCGCAACUCUUGAGCCGACACAUGAGCAUGUCGAGCAAACUUUUAACAUCCAUCACACUUGCGUAUGAGGUCUUCUGCAUCUUCAUGAGCCGUUAGCCAAUAAAACCCAUGUCGAAAGGCCUUUGCCACCAAAGAUCUUGAGCCGACGUGAUGUCCACAGUCACCAGCGAAGAUUUCAUUGAGAAUUUCUUUCCCUUCCUCAUGAGGCACACGGCAUUGAAAUAAGACAGUGUUGCUCCGCCGAUGUAACUCGCCCUUGAUUAUGGUCAUCGACUUCGAUCGUCGAACUAUUUGGCAGGCCUCGACUUCCUCGGUCGGAAGUUCUCCUCGAGUGUGAUAAGCCAAACAUGGUACCGUCUAGUCUAAGGUAGCACGUAGAGCCGCCACCAGCUAUGAUUCCGGAUUAGGAAUAGCUAUAUCCUCUUCAGACGGUAAUUUCACCGAGGGGUUGUGCAGGACAUCCAAAAAUACAUUGGGAGGGACCAACUUCCGUUGAGAACCAAGUCACAAUAAAGCAUCUGCUUCCUCAUUGAGCCGGCAAUCAAUGCGAUCGACUUGAUAGCCAUGAAAGUAACACGCCACGUUAGUAACUGCUAGUUGAUAAGCCGACAUCAAAGGAUCUUUCCAAUCCCAAGUCCCUGAAACUUGUUGAGCCACUAAAUCUAAGUCUCCCAAACAGUUGACCCGACUGAGGUUCAUUUCUUUAGCCAUCCUUAGCCCAUGCAAUAAGGCCUCAUACUCAGCUUCAUUAUUAGUAUGGCGAAACAUGAGCCAUAAAACAUAGCAGAACUUGUCACCUUAUGGGGAAGUUAACACGACCCCAGCCCCGGAUCCUUCUAAUUGCUUGGAACCAUCAAAGUGCAAGGUCGAGUAGGUGUUAUUUGGCCUGUCUUCUGGCAUUUGUAGCUUUGUCCAGUCAUUGAUGAAAUCCAACAAUGCUUGGGAUUCGAUGGUCGUUCGGGGCAUGUAUUUCACCUGAUGUGGGCCGAGCUCGAUUGCCCACUUAGCGAUCCGUCUAGUGGUAUCUCGAUUUUGUAUGAUAUCGCCAAGGGGUGUUGAACAGACCAUAAUGAUUGGAUGCUCCUAAAAGUAGUGUUUUAACUUUGGGCUUGCCAUAAAGACCCCAAAGACCAGUUUCUGCCAAUGUGGAUAUCGUUGCUCGGAAAGGUUCGAGACUUCACUAACGAAAUAGACUCGUCGUUGAACUGGAUAUUCCUCUCCUUCUUCCUUCGGUUUGACAACAACUGCAACACUUAUCAUCUUUGAGUUGGCAGCAAUGUACACGAGCAUGGGCUCUUUGUCGCUCGGGUGACUAAAACCGGCGACUCAGCCAACUACUUCUUGAGAUCUUCAAAGGCUUCGGUUGUUGCGUCAGUCCAAACAAAAUUGUCCGCCUUUUUCAACAACUGAUAGAGAGGGAUUGGCUUCUCCACCAGGCGGCUUAUAAAUCGGCUCAAUGUUGUGAUACGGCCCGCCGGGAGUUGGACUUGGUUUAUGUUAGUCGGCCUACCCAGUGAGGUGAUCUCCUUUAUCUUGUGAGGGUUAGCCUCAAUGCCUCGUUCAGAGGCCAGGAAGCCCAGUACCUUACCCGCAGGGACCCCAAAGACACACUUACCCAGGUUAAGUUUCAAUUGGUACACUUGAAGGUUAUCAAACGUCUCCCCACGACCGUCCAAGAGUGUCUCCUUCUUCUGAGAUUUCACCAUGAUGUCAUCAAAAUAAGCAAGAGUGUUGCGGCCGAUCUGUGAGUGAAAGCAAUUCUACACAUAUCGUUGAUAAGUCGCCCCUGCACUCUUAAGCCCGAAAUCCAUAGAUACAUAGGAGAAGGCACCAAAAGGGGUUAAGAAAGUUGUAUUCUCCUGAUCCUCGUUAGCAAUUUGAUCUGGUGAUAACCUGAGUAUGCAUCCAAAAAGCAUAAUCGCUCGCAACCCGGCGUAGAGUCAAUGACCUGGUCGAUACGUGGGAGAGAAAAAGGAUCUUUGGGACAGGCUUUGUCGAGAUCUAUGUAAUCAACACACAUGUGCCAUGUGUCGUUCUUCUUUAGGAAAAGCACCAAUUUAGCCAACCAUUCAGGGUGAAAAACUUCAAUGAUAAAACCGGCAACUAGGAGCCGGGCUAGCUCUUCUUCUAUAGCCUUGCGUAUCUCCUCGUUAAAACGACGGAGAUAUUGAUGUAUUGGUUUCAUAUUUGGAUCCACAUUAUGAUGGUGAUCAGCGAGUUCCCUCGGUACUGCAGGCAUGUCAGAAGGCUUCCAUGCAAAGAUGUCCCAAUUCUCACAUAUGAACUCGAUGAGCGGGCUUUCCUAUUUAGGAUCCACACCAGUCCCAAUGUUGAACUGCUUGGAUGAGUCACCUGGGACGGAGUCAAUCUAUUUGGUAUAUUUUGCCGGCUUAAACUUGCGAAGUUCUUCGGACCCAGUAGUUGGCUUACUGAGAGGACUCAUGUCAGUCGGGUCAACAUUAGCCGUCUAAAACUUUAACUCCUCGGCAGCGCAUGCCGACUCAGCAUAGGCUGCGUGCCCUUCCUCACACUCCUGAGUCGUCUUCCUGUCACCUCUCACCUUGAUAAUGCCAUUGGGACCCGGCAUCUUGAGCUUGAGGUGGACAUAAUAGGGGUGAGCCAUGAAGCGUGCAUAAGUUGGCCUUCCGAAGAUGGCAUGAUGAGGGCUCUGUAUCUUCACCACUUCAAAAGUCAAAGGUUCGACCUUUUAGUUAUGCUCAUCACCAAGGGCACGUCAAGCUUAAUCCUCCCAACUGGUUACGCCGACUUCCGAGGGACGAUGCCAUGAAAAAUGGUGGUUGAAGUUUCCAAACUGUUGUUGGGGAGGUUCAUCCGCAGAAAGGUGUGAUAAUAUAGUAUGUUGAUGUUGCUUCCUCCAUCCAUUAGGACCUUUGUGAGGAUAUAUCCAACCACUUGAGGUGCUACCACCAGGGCCAGAUUUCGAGGGUUGUCGACCCACAGGGGAUGAUCCUCCCGGCUUUGGGUGAUCGGCUGCUCAUACCAACGGAGAUACUCGGGAAUAGCCGGCUCAGCCAUGUUGAUAGCUCUCUUUGUGACCUAUGUGUAUCGUUUUCAAGUAUUGGUGGUCAAGACAUGGUACUGACCACUACUUGGUUUCUCAAGAAGACGGUUCCGGAAAUCCCGCGUGAUAUAGCAGUCUUCCCAUCAAUGAUUGGUCGGCUUCUCCCGAGUGCCAUGCUUGGGCCAAGGCUCCCUGAGCGCAUCCUUGUAGUUGCGCGCCUUAUUCGCCUGAUGAACCUUUCCAGAGCGGUCACUCUGACACUGGUUUUUGAAACUCACUUUGGUACUGACCGCAGCUUUUGACCCGCCUUCGGGCCGCUUCCGCUUGUUGUCACCUAAGCCUUCAGCGUUCCCACUUUUGAAAGGACGAACUAACCCCGUGUUAUCCACAAAGGCACGGCUUCGACCGGCUCUAUGCCAACUGGGUCGAACAUGGCGAGCUGACUCGACGAUGUUGGUGCGGAUGUCCGACUCGGGUGUUGCUUCAUUGACCUUGCCAAUGAAGAUGUGGAUCUUUCCGAAGGGGACCCGGUACCCGUACUCGAUUGAGUCGGCAUCGAGACCCCAGCUUGAAUCAUUGAUGUAGAUCUUGUCGUGGAGACUCCUAGUCAUACGACCCGCAACGUAUCUCCCGAACCCUAGAAGAGCUCCCUCCAAGAACUUAACUCCACCUUGUGAUUGCCCCAUGGUGGGCGCCAACUUUCGUGGUUUUGUCGCAGCAGAUGUCCUCGUUGAAGGACUUAGAGCUGAGGCCAUCGUCGCGAUGUAGCGACUCGAAGGGGUUGAUCGGGAACGAGAGACGGAUUUACCCAGGUUCAGCCCCUCCAGUGGAGACAAAAGCCUACAUCCUGCUUUGGUGUCUAUAUUGAUGGAGAUCUUGAUUACAAGGAUGACGAAUAACUAACCUAGCUCUCGAGAGUUUCUUGCUUGAGCUUUUCGGCUCGCGGGCUCCCCCUUAUAUAUAGGCAGAGGCAUCGAGUUUACAACAGAGUUCAGGUCAAUAAAUGCAUGUGACAUAUUACAAUUCUACCUUGUCUUGUUUCCCAAGUUAGGAAAGCUUCUGGUGUCUCCUACCUCGUGGGCUUUGAGUCGCUAUCUUCAAGUACUCGGCCGCCAAGCGGCUCGCUUGGUAAGUCUCCUUGUUGUCCUUCUAUCCUUUCUGCAGCCCAUUGCGUACAUACAAGAAGAGUCGCCUACAGUCUAACCCGACCCAAACUGCGGGUUAUACCACGGGGUCAUAUCCCCGACAAACUCCGACUCCGUGUAACAUCCCAAAUUUUGGAAUGUUAAUAUAAUUACUAGACUGAUUGUUUGUUUGUUUGACUAAUUGAAACUUGAGUGAAAUUUGAAAACAUUUUAAAACUUUUGAAUGUGAGGGAAUAAAAGCACUUUCCCAUUUUCUUUUAAUUCAAAUUCAUCCAUUUAAAAUCAAUGAGAGAAGAUAACAUGACUUCUCCAACUAUAAAGAUUUUGAAAGGUGGAUUUGAAAACUAAUAAAAGAUUUCCUAUAUGGAUUUCAUUUUCGUAUUUGAUCAUAUUGCUAUUUCAAAGUUUAAAUGAAUUCAUAUAUUAAAAAAAUAUGAGAGGAGGAACAUGGCCCUCCAAACCACGGGCAUUUUGAAAAUUAUUUGAACCCUAAAACUUAGGAGGUCAUUUGAAAAUAUUUGUAAAAGGAAAUAAAACAUUUAGGCAAUUUUCUGGAAAUAAAUUUUUUUCCUGAAGUUCUUAUUUUGGCCGUGGAAAAAUGUCCAUCUUAUUGGAUUUAUUUUUUGAAAAUUUUGAUAUAUAAUACUUCUAUAUUUGGAAAAUUAUAUUUAUUUUAUUUUCUAAGUUUUACCUUCCGGUUUUUAUUAAAAAGAAACAAACCGUUUUCUUCGGAAAGGCAUCUGGUCCCGUUAGGAAUAUCUGAUCCGGCCCGAUACAUUCGUUCUUCCACCUCCCGUCUCCUUUCCUUCCCUGCCGCGUGAAGCUUCCACGAAGCUUCCUCGCCGAUUCCUUUCCCCGAUCACUGCGUACCUUCCUUCCCCUCACCCCCCGAGGCCCCAUUUAAUAUCCUCACCCCCUCCUCUCUCUGUUUUCCCCAAGACCCCUUUCUCUCCACGCCCCAGCGUCGCCCUACACCCUCGCCGGAGGUCCUGCUCACGCAGAAGCCAGGAGCUCCUGCCGCGCCACCUCCCUUCGCCCCACGACCCUCCUGACGCUACCAGGAGAACGCCGGGACCCUCCUCCGCCAGAACCACCACCCUGUCGCCCCCCUACACCACCGGAGCCGCCUCCCCUCGCCGCCUCACCUUCGAGCGUGCCAUUACCAGCGCUAGAGCUCCUCUCUGCCACGGCAAGCUCCCUCUCUCUCUNUUCUUUUUCCCACAGUUGGAUCCAUAAUAUACGCUCUAGAUUAGAUUAGGAUACCCUUUCGGAUUUAGUUAGAAAACCGAUCGGUUCCCUGUUAGUUAAUUUAAAACCGAAAGGUUUUCCUUUAUAUUGUGACCGUCCGUUAGUUAGCCUAAAUCGCGCACGAUCUCCAGCCAAUCACAGCCUGCCACGUCGCCUUUUCUUUUAAUCUUUUUCUAUUUUUAAUUCCGAAACAUAUUUGGACCUGAUUUUAGAUUGCUUAUAACUUUUAAUCUAUAACUCCAAUUGAGGUGAUUCUUUUUGCAUUGGAUCACAAAUUUUUUGUAUUUUUUGUAGUUAUAAAAUUUUACCAUGUUUUAAAUUUUAAACUUUAAAUUUAAACAGAUUUCGUUUAAAUCUUAUUUUGUUAAUAUCUGGAGUUUAAAAAUAGAUUUUUAGUUGAUUCUUUUUGCUACUGAUCACUAGUGAUCUUAUUUAUCAGUAGGUAAAACUUCAAAAAAUUUGGAGUAUUUUAAAUCAUUAUUUUAUGUAAAAUAGAUUUUGUUUUAGUUCUUUCUAGGACUAUUGCUAUUUCUUUUGCUAUAAUUGUUUUUAAUUUAUUUUCUUUUAUACUUGUGAAAGGUUAUAUUUUGUUUCAUUUUAGUUAACGGUAGGUUUUCAACAACAACAAAAUUUUAUUUUAUUUGAUAGCAUGAAAUCAAUUCUAGUUCGAUAAUAACUUGCAAAUUGAUUUUGUUGCUAGUUUGAUGUCCUAUUUGAAAAUACUUUCAAAAUAAUAUAGUUUUAUGAAAAAUACUAUAUGUUAUCUUAGUUAAUUUUAUAUUUUCUUUUCUAUUAUUUUACUAUUUUAGUGUUUUAUUUUCUGAUAAGUUUAAUUAGAAGAAAAACUAUUUAGUGAUUGUUGUAGUAGAAGACUCCAUAGUUUUUCUUUGAACUUCCUUUUGGAUUUCUAUUUGAUCAUUCUUAUUGAUUUUAUUGCAUCAAAUUUUAUUGUUGUAUGUUAUAUUUAUUUCUAGGAUGAUUGCUAGUAGGAUUGCUUAUAUGAAUACUAUGUUUGAUUAUAUAGAUAUCAUCGGAGAGUGACGAAUAGUUCUAUCAAGUUAUUUCUUGAGAGCGAUAUUCUUGUUCAUCAACCUUACCAGGCAAGUUCACAUUGAUCAUAUUUUUACCUCUGAUUUUAUUGCAUUAGUUUCAACCUUAUUCACCCAUUGCAUUCAAGUAGGUACUUGGAAACUUUGGUUAUUGAGUAGUAUGUUAUGAUAGGCACCCCUAAACCCUUGUUACUUUGGCGGGGACGUUAUUUUGCUAUGCUCAUGGUAGACGGGGUUUGGUUGAGUGUUUAUCAUGGGUGUUGUGAGAAACUUAAUAAUGAAGACCUUAAGAAUCCAAGACUUGCAAGACCUCAGAACAAAAUAUACCUCUGGGUGAAGGACGGUUCAGAUGGGCUCCGUGGGAAAAACCAGCGGAGGACUUGGGAUGCAUGCAGAAGCGCCAUGACAUCUUUCGGAAAGCUUCACCCAGGCUCAAAGAGAUGGAUGGAUAUUUGAAGACCCAAGUCUUACCUGCAGAGCCACAAGUCAUUAUGGGCUCUGGCUUGGUUGGACAACGUGGUGACUUUGGACGAGCGGUACUACGAGAUGUACAAGAACGGUAGGAUUGGAUGGGCACCGACAGUGGCUCAGAGGAACCCGUUGAAAGACCAUGUUUUGAUCAUCCGGUUCUCAAACAUCCUGAAGUGUGAGGACUCCAACGGAGGCGAUCAAAUCUUGUGGGGAACGUGUGCAAAACUCUGCUGAGUACUCAAACGUAAUUGAUUAGCCGUGUCCACGGUCAUGGGCAACUUGAGUCGAAGGAACUAAAGUUAUUAGGAAUUCUCAACACCAUUUAAUAUUGAUGUGGGUAAUAUUUAUAACUUGGGUAUGAGAAUUGGUUGGUGGAACCAUCUCAUUAACAACGAACAAUGUAGUAAAUCUUGCUUUGACCCUCUCUUGUUGUAGGAAAAUUUGCUUUACGCCAAACUUAAAACUACGGCCCCAUGUGUCGUAUAUGCAUAUAGUAUAGAUGAUAUUUUCACCCCUCUCUUUUCUGACUUGCCGGCAUAUUCGAUAUGCUGACCUACACGGCUGCAACAUCUUAUGUUGUAGAUAUUGUAUUCGACGAGUAAGAGUAUGAUUCAAGGUUACGGUCUGCACUCAACUUGUCGUUGGUGUUUAUUGGGACUCCACUGCCUUUGACUGUUUCCGCUGAGAUUUUGAGGUAUAUAUCAGUUUUAGGUUAUUUUACAUGUGAUUGCACUUUGAUAUAUACAUUGAUGUACUGUGUGUUCCAGCAUACUGAUCCAGUGAUGGCACGGAACACACAGAGGCUUGACUCGUUUUGAGUCGGGUCGCUAUAGAUAUGGUAUCAGAGAACAUGUUGAUUGUAGGACAUGACCCUAGAAACUGGAAAUCCCUUAGGAAAGCAUCUCUCUAAUAUUUUAUUUUCAAGAACAUUCUUUACUUCUCAUCUCUUCU
rnacentral:lncRNA from 1 species